ACGAUGGCGAAAAUGUGUUGCACCGUCGGUCCGAGAGGAAGAGAUGAUCGGCUCGCAUGCACAUGCAUAUCAAAUGUGGAAAUCAUCAGCUGCGCCGAUGGGCCGUCCGUUUGACAAAGUGCUCUCUGCUGGAUUUAUCAUAUCAUUCUUUCAUUCUUUUGGUCGGUGGCCUGUUUCGAGCCGCUGCUGAUUCUGACACAUGAAGGAUGGGCUUGGGAUCCUUUUGACGCCUGUUGAUGUUUAGUCCCGUCAAAUUUUCUUGACAUAGGAGCUUUUAGGUGCUUGGGGGUAUAUUGCCCUUUGUAUAGAAAACUAGUUUAGGAUUCCAUUUAUGAUAUGUGGCAUUUUAUUUAUUUAUCCAGAAAUGAAACUUAUGGUAAGAACCGAACUGAAUAGUCAGCUCACUAGUCAUCAACAGUCUCUGUUGAUUGGGGGCGUGGUGGCUGUGUGCAUCGAUGCGAUGCAGAGGCCGGGCAUUUGCUUAGUGUGGUUGUAUUACCUCGACAUAUCGAUUGAAUGAAAAUGUCCUUCGGCAAAAAUAAAAAGGGUAACCCGAACAUACAGGUUUCGAAAUGACGAGAGGCUGCCGUUGCACGUUUAUGGAAGGACCAAAUGCUUUGUUGCGCUGAACCAUACAUACCAAGCAACAAUAGUGUCAGGGAAAUGGCCAAGCAACAAUGGUGUCAGGGAAAUGGGUAUAACUUCACAAAAUGAAAAUCGCUGUGUUAGCGAGUAAUCUCUAUCAAGUAAUGUCAACAUAACAAAAGCAAAGGACCGCACAGGGGCGAAGGGAAUUGGAGUAGACAUGCUGCAUCCUCUUUCUUUUUUUUGCUAGAUAGAUUCAACACCAGAUGUUUAACUUGUUGUAACUCACAGAUCCUUCUAAUCAUCAAUAUUUUCUUCUCAACUCAAAAUUUAGAAUGCUUAGAUUGUCAAGAAGAUUCUCUAGAUUGUAAUAUGUGCUGCGAGAGUUUGAGAAUAAAAUAUCAUGAACAACAUAGCCAAGACUUAAGAUUCAGGAACCACAGUACUGAAUGGCGAACCUCUCUGCAAUUACCAGAGUCUAGUCUAGUAUAUCAUUCGAACACUUAUGUUGUUCUACACCCCUUUAAGAAAGAGAAGGGAGUUAUCUUCCCCUAAAAGAAGAACGAAAGAACAUAAAAGAAGAGAAAGAAAUAAAAAGAAAAAUAUAAGUAUAUAUUGUAAACUGAACCAUUUCCUUCAUCGGUGACAUAUGAGUUGUUAGAUCAUCUCCAGCCGUUGCGCCCCCAAGACGCGCCAAAAACCGCCGCUUGGGGGCGAGCCGGCGCUAUUUUANNNNNNNNNNNNNNNNNNNNNNNNNNNNNNNNNNNNNNNNNNNNNNNNNNNNNNNNNNNNNNNNNNNNNNNNNNNNNNNNNNNNNNNNNNNNNNNNNNNNNNNNNNNNNNNNNNNNNNNNNNNNNNNNNNNNNNNNNNNNNNNNNNNNNNNNNNNNNNNNNNNNNNNNNNNNNNNNNNNNNNNNNNNNNNNNGCGCUUUCAGCCCAUUUUCGGCGCUGGAUUGGCCCAAUUUCCGGCACGUUGAUGUUAUUGUGAGUUCCUGGCAUACCAAAGAAAGUGUGCCAAAUCCAGAGGUCCUGUGUGGCCACUACCUCAAGUAUCACACUGCAAGCUCCUUUGACACCUUUGUACAUCCCCUGCCAAGCAAACAGGCAGUUCUUCCAUGCCCAAUGCAUGCAGUGGAUGCUUCCAAGCAUACCAGGAAAUCCUCUUGCUUCAUUCUGUGCCAGGAUCCGAGCAGUGUCUUCAGCAUUGGGUGAUCGCAAGUACCUCGGUCCAAACACUGCCACCACAGCCCUGCAGAACUUGUAGGUGCACUCAAUGAUCGUGGACUCGGCCAUGCGCCCAUAGUCGUCGAGUGAAUCACCUGGAGCCCCGUAUGCAAGCAUUCUCUGGAUUGAGGUGAAUCCAAGUGUGCCGGUGCAAUCCUUCUUGCACCUGAAUUAGUUGUCGUACUCCCCGAGUUCAUUGACUAUCCCGAGGAAAAGAUUUCGGCCCAUCCGAUAACGGCGCCGGAAAACUUUGUCGCCGUGCAAUGGAGCAUCGGUGAAGUAGUCAGAGUAGAACAUGCAAUAGCCUUCGAGCCGAUGACGGUUCUUUGCUUUCCGUCGCCCCGGCGCUGAGCCGCCUCGCCUCGGCUUUGCAUCGCCGGCAAGCAAGCCGGUCAGGGUGGCGAGGACCAUGAGGUGUUCUUCGUCCUGGGCGGCGGCGUCGGCUUCCUCCUCGAGCAACGCCGCUAGCACCUCCUCGUCGUCGGAGUCCAUCGCAGCCGGGGUAGGCACACGUAGCGGGCGUCGUGCGCAGACUCGUCGCCGGGCGCCGGAGCGGCGAGGGAAACUCGGGGAAAGUGGGGGGAGAAGGCGUCGGGGGGAUCUUUCUUUGUUUCACGGCGAGGAAUGGCGAGAUAGCGGCGACGGCGGCGGCGGAGAGGUGGCUGGCGACGCCGGGAUCGGCAAGAUGUCGGGGAAGGAGAGGGGAAAACAGGGCGAAUCAGUGUGACUUUUCGCCUGACAGUGGGGACCCGGGCGAUUUUCCCUUCCGCCGGCGCCCCCAAGCGUCCCCAGUGCGCCGGGUUCGGUCUGAGCGUGCCGGGUCAGAAAAAGGGCCGAUCCGGCGGCGCUACUGGGCCUUUUUUCAGUGCCGGCGCUAAAAAAAGCGGCCUGGGGGGGCAUCUUGGGGGCGUGGCUGGAGAUGCUCUUACAUAUAACAUAUCCAUGUCCAAGCUAUAUAUAGUGCCACAACAAGAAGAUUAGGUCAACAUCCAACAAACGAUUUUUAUGAGGGCCCUAUGUUACUGAUGGCCAUUUUGCAAAACAAGGAAUAUAAGGUGCACAACACCUGAGCUCUUGGGAAGCGCUGAUAACUUGCAAUUUCUGAUUAUCCAUAUUGCAUAAGACUGUCAUCUUCCCAUCAGUAAGGAAAAAUGAAUCACAAUCUGGGUGAAUUGCCAACAUCUUGUAGGACUCGUCAUCUUUGCGAGAAUGCCUUUCGAACAGUACCAAAACAUUAGCAGUGUGCUUUAGUGUCCAUUUUCCGCUAGCAUAAUCCUCAAGAACCCAAACGAAGAGUUGACAACAAUCAUCUACACUCCAAGUAUGCAAGCACCCCUGAGAGAGUCCAAUGGCUGCUUCCGCCAAGCAUGGCGCUUUAAUUUCUCUCCAAAUCUUUCCCUCUCUGUCUACUGUUACUAUUGAAGAAUUAAAGGUAGUCAAAUGGAUAAUUCCAUUCAGGAAGAUGGUAGGUUUGGCCGUAUGCAUCGUUCUGAUGCAGAGGACGGGGAGUCCCCCAGAUUGAUCACGACGCACCACAGCGUCGCGACUCCACUCAUUCAGCGCGAAAGUCCACCGUCCAGUUUCCGAUGGGUAGAUCGCCACUUCUUCGAUGACAUCAAAAUAAUCUGCCAGGGGCACGACCACCACAAAACUGGAGGGGUUGGCUGUAUCAAAACCCAAAAAACGUUCGGCUUGGUCUAUAUCACAAAGGUGACCUCCAACCAGACAGAGAAUCUCUGGUCGGCCCGGGACCUCUAUAGGAGGCAAUACAGUACACUUCUCAGUCACCGGAUUUCACACGACAUAUUCAACAUCCUCUUGCACUGAGGGCGGUUUCCAGCACAUGCAAAGUAGAAGUCCGCCGCAGCAUUUUUCGACACUGCAUUUUUUAUAUUAAUAACUGGUCAAGAAAGAAAGACCGGCAUUGAACAAAGGGGGGCCACCCCCUGCCAGAUCAUGGAAAUAGAGGCCCUCAUCACAGUCCUCUCCGAAGAAGUAGAGGCUGGACAGCAGGGUCAGCGGCGACCUCUUGCGGAUGUCGAGACCGGAGCAGAGGGCGAGCCACGGCUUGGAGACGCACUUGAAGCAGCAGAGCGACUUGUAGCGCACCCGUGAGAGGAUCUCAAUUAUGACGUCGUCGGGGAGGUCCGCCGUGGGCUGCUACUCGUGCUCGUGCAUCAGCUUCUUCUUCUUCUUCUUCUUCUUCUUCUUUUUCUACAAAGGGAAGAGACGAUUCGUUCAGGUUUCCAAUUCUUUUUCUUGGAUGGAAGAUUGGAAGAUUUAGAAGAAGAGGCGGAAGAACAAACCUCUGGAGCAACGAUGUGGAGCGGCGGCGAACGGGACGGAGCGUCCUCGCCGCGGCCACGGGGGCUGGUCGCCGGUGGGGGAUCCUGCUCCAUGGCACCAUAUCCUCCUCGUCCUCCUCCACCUGGCGACAUCGUCUCCUCGGUAUACCGGGACUAUGACACGAACUUGAUCCUCGCCUGAUCGGCUUAUUAGUUAUUACUAGUUGAAUGCUCGUGCGUUGCGAUGGGUCUUAAAAAUGUAUACACUGGUCAUUGUUAUAAUUUAGAAGUGUAUGUCAAACAUGAUUGAUAUUCAUCCAUAUAACGGCAACUUCCAAUUCUUUCUCCCACUUCUUUCUCUAUCAUGUCUCUUUUUUUAACGUGAAAUAGUAGGGGAGACCCCUAAUGUAUAUUUUACAAAAUUAGAAGUGUGUCCUUAACUCCCUAUGUCAUCGUCUCUUUCAGUACCUCCCCUUCAUCGAGAAAAAGCGGUUUUCUCCCCGUCGUUCCUCCUUCCACAUCCAUGGAAUCCAUCCAUCUUUGCUCUAUCAUUGUCGUCAAUUCAAAUGUUGGUCAUUUUAUCCUAACUAUCACUUGGCCACUUCUUCAAAACAUUAGAAGAUCUAUGAAAUAGUGCAUAUGUAUCGACAGAAAUAAUGAGUAGGGACGACGACUUGUACCCUAGUAUAUCUCGUAUGGGGAAGUCAAUAUGAAAAUACCAUGUCUAGUGUUGUACAUUUACACGGAAAUUUUUGUAGGGAUAUCCAUUCUAAUAAAAUUUGACUUAGAGCACUGACUACCAGUUACAUGAAAGACGAUGCAUGCCCUUUUAAAUUACUCACCGCCAACUCCUAAGCAGCAAUGGAGUUUCUUCCUUCCAACCAAAGACGUGAUUUAUGAUCUGAAAAAUAGAACCGGAAAACAGUUAGUAAAGAUUAACCUAAUUUGGAAGAAUAUAGAUUUUUGUCCUUUUUAGUGAAGUAUGAUUACUAAAUUGUAGCUCAUGGCAAGAGCAUAUAGGUCCAGGUCUCUCCUUUUCCCUUCAAUUUAUCUUACCUCUUUUGAUCUUCAUUCAACAUCUGAGAUCUAUUGGAACAAAAUACAUUACUGGAUUGUGUUUGUCUCUAAUAUAGUUACAGUGAAACAAUUGGAAGCACUCAUCUGAUGGGAAAUAAGCUAAGCUUGCAAGGCAUGAGAUGUAUUUAUAAUGAAUAUAAAUAAAAUAAUAAUGAAGUAGCACUAAGACCUUUGUAGUAUUUUACAUCUUGGGAAAAGCUUACACAAGGCACAUCUGGUACUUGCAAGUGGCACUACCUCAUUGUAAAAUGCAACAAUUAGGCAUAAACCAAUCGGCAUGGACAAAAAUCUAAAGAUACUUAGUGUUAUUAGAUUCAACACAUAUACUUUUUAGAACCCUUAAAAUACUCUGUAGGAAAUUUUAUGAUCAACGACAUUUAUGAAGAUCAUUCUGAAAUACACUUGCAAUUUUCUAGAACUAACUUCUAAUAUAAAUUUGAGAUUAACAUCUUUCAGAUGGAAUUAACAAGAAGGCACGUACUACAUCCAGCAUCAUCUUAAGUAGUAACACACAGAUAUUUAGCUAGACUUAACUGUUAGGUAGGUGUGUAUAGAAAGCUCUCGACUGCAGCAUUUUAGUACAUCAUAGUGGCUAAUUUCAGGAUAUAUGAAUAGUCAGAAGACGUAAACAGAGCAAAGAAAGGGUCACCAAAAGGUUCAACGACGUGGAGCUUACAAAGUCUUCCACCUUAGUUUAUCCUACAUUGCCACAGCCUACAUGUAUUUACUUGCAAGAGUCCUAACCUUGGUAUUGAAUUGUUGUUACAGCAAAAAAAUAUGGAUAUCGAAGAAAAACGAAAAGCAAGUUGCAUUCUCUGCAAAACCCCGGCAAUAUAACCUGUCGUAGGAAUAUUGUCAGCAACAACUAUGAUGUACUACUACUAAUUUGAGUAAACAAAUAAGAUAGAUGCAUCACUAACACGAUGUGGGGAUACUAAGCAAAAACAAAACCAUUGUCAGCAACAAAUAGGAAGUUAACUCUGAUGUGCUGCUACAGCCGUCCGUGUGACCUCGUCGUUCUCCACCCCAUCCGACCCGGUCUCCUCCGAUGGCUGCCCCCGCGCCUAUCCAUCAGAACAAGACUAUUCCGCAUUCAGAAUGGCGUAAUAAAUGUUAGAUGUGUAUAGACAUUUGUCUGUAUAUCCCUAAUGUAUAAGGGAUUUCUCUGCACUUUAACACAUAUGUAUAUGUACUGGCCUCUGGCCUCAGUUAAUGUCAAGUUGCUCAUUCCUCACAUGGUAUCAGAUGCUUAGAUUCCUCUCCCACUCCCGCACCACGCAACUCCGUGCUGCUCUUCCCCCGGCCGCCGCUCGGCUUCUUCUUCGGCUGUCUCGUCUGGCUGCUGCUCCGUCUGGAAGCAACCCCGUCAGGUCCACCUCACCCGUCUGCCGCUCCUCCCGUCUGCCCGGUCGUCGCCGCGCCUGUCCAGCCGCAGCCGCGCCCGUCUGGCCGUCGUCACGUCUUCCCGGUCGCAGCCGCGCCCGUCNNNNNNNNNNNNNNNNNNNNNNNNNNNNNNNNNNNNNNNNNNNNNNNNNNNNNNNNNNNNNNNNNNNNNNNNNNNNNNNNNNNNNNNNNNNNNNNNNNNNNNNNNNNNNNNNNNNNNNNNNNNNNNNNNNNNNNNNNNNNNNNNNNNNNNNNNNNNNNNNNNNNNNNNNNNNNNNNNNNNNNNNNNNNNNNNNNNNNNNNNNNNNNNNNNNNNNNNNNNNNNNNNNNNNNNNNNNNNNNNNNNNNNNNNNNNNNNNNNNNNNNNNNNNNNNNNNNNNNNNNNNNNNNNNNNNNNNNNNNNNNNNNNNNNNNNNNNNNNNNNNNNNNNNNNNNNNNNNNNNNNNNNNNNNNNNNNNNNNNNNNNNNNNNNNNNNNNNNNNNNNNNNNNNNNNNNNNNNNNNNNNNNNNNNNCGGUCCGCCCGGCCGCUGCGGCGCGGUCCGCCCGGCCGCUGUCGAGCGAGCCCGAUCGCUACCUCGAGCGGCCUCUGCUCCGCCCUGUUGGAAAUAUGCCCCAGAGGUAAUAAUAAAUUAGUUAUUAUUAUUAUAUUUCAUUGUUCAUGAUAAUCGUUUAUUAUCCAUGCUAGAAUUGUAUUGAUAGGAAACUCAGAUACAUGUGUGGAUACAUAGACAACAUCAUGUCCCUAGUAAGCCUCUAGUUGACUAGCUCGUUGAUCAAUAGAUGGUUACGGUUUCCUGACCAUGGACAUUGGAUGUCGUUGAUAAAGGGAUCACAUCAUUAGGAGAAUGAUGUGAUGGACAAGACCCAAUCCUAAGCCUAGCACAAAGAUCGUGUAGUUCAUAUGCUAAAGCUUUUCUAAUGUCAAGUAUCAUUUCCUUAGACCAUGAGAUUGUGCAACUCCCGGAUACCGUAGAAUGCUUUGGGUGUACCAAACGUCACAACGUAACUGGGUGGUUAUAAAGGUUCACUACAGGUAUCUCCGAAAGUGUCUGUUGGGUUGGCAUGAAUCGAGACUGGGAUUUGUCACUCUGUGUAAACGGAGAGGUAUCUCUGGGCCCACUCGGUAGGACAUCAUCAUAAUAUGCACAAUGUGACCAAGGAGUUGAUCACGGGAUGAUGUGUUAUGGAACGAGUAAAGAGACUUGCCGGUAACGAGAUUGAACAAGGUAUCGGGAUACCGACGAUCGAAUCUCGGGCAAGUAUCGUACCGCUAGACAAAGGGAAUUGUAUACGGGAUUGAUUGAAUCCUUUACAUCGUGGUUCAUCCGAUGAGAUCAUCGUGGAACAUGUAGGAGCCAACAUGGGUAUCCAGAUCCCGCUGUUGGUUAUUGACCAGAGAGUUUUCUCGGUCAUGUCUGCAUGACUCCCGAACCCGUAGGGUCUACACACUUAAGGUUCGAUGACGCUAGGGUUAUAGGAAAAGUAUGUACGCGGUUACCGAAUGUUGUUUGGAGUUCCGGAUGAGAUCCCGGACGUCACGAGAAGUUCCGGAAUGGUCCGGAGGUAAAGAUUGAUAUAUAGGAAGUAUGGUUUUGGCCACCGGAAGUGUUCCGGGCAUCACUGGUAGUGUACCGGGACCAUCGGAGGGGUCCGGGGGUCCACCAGGUGGGGCCACCAGCCCCGGAGGCAUACAUGGGCCAAUAGUGGGAAGGGACCAGCCUCUAGGUGGGCUGGGGCGCCUCCCACCAAGGCCCAAGGCGCCUCCAAGAGGGGAGGGGGGCAAACCCUAGGGCAGAUGGGCCCUAAGGCCCAUCCCAGGUGCGCCUCCCCCUCUCCCCCUUGUGGCCGCCACCCUAGAUGGGAUCUAGGGCUGCUGCACCCCUUGGGGUGGGAACCCUAGGUGGGGGUGUAGCCCUCCCUCUCCCCCUAUAUAUAGUGGAGGCAAAGGGGCAGCCCAACACACGAAGUUCUUCCCCUGUUUGCGCAGCCCUACCCCUCCCCCUCCUCGUCUCUCGUAGUGCUUGGUGAAGCCCUGCUGGAGUUCCGCGCUCCUCCACCACCACCACGCUGUCGUGCUACUGCUAGACGGAGUCUUCCCCAACCUCUCCUUCUCCCCUUGCUGGAUCAAGGCGUAGGAGACGUCACCGGGCUGCACGUGUGUUGAACGCGGAGGCGCCGUGGUUCGGCGCUUAGAUCGGAAUCAAUCGCGAUCUGAAUCGCUUCGAGUACGACUCCUUCAUCCGCGUUCUUACAACGCUUCCGCUUAGCGAUCUACAAGGGUAUGUAGAUGCACUCUUCUUCCCCUCGUUGCUAGAUUACUCCAUAGAUUGAUCUUGGUGAUGCGUAGAAAAUUUUAAAUUUCUGCUACGAUCCCCAACACGCCCGUGCGUGAGCACGACCCCUGCCCCCUGGGCCCGUCUCGCUCGUGGCUGGAUCGGGCGCCAGCCACCCCUUCUCUCGUUCUGCAUCGCGAUCUGGUGCGUGAGCGCAUGCGAUUCAGCUGCUUCUCCCGAUCCAGAUCUGAUCUGGCUGUGUGCAGUUGACCAAAAGAGAGAGAGAGAGAGGCCAUGUCCUCUUCGGUCUACGUUGUUGUUCCUCGUUGCUCGGUGAUCUUCGAUGGCACCAAGUAUUCUGAGUUUGUCGGCUUUAUGCGCAUCCAUAUGCGUGGACUUCUUCUGUGGGGUGUUCUCUCUGGCGAGGUCCCCUGUCCGCCAUGUCCGGUUGCGCCAGUGGCCCCAAUCCCACCAGUGCCGCCGAUUCUUGCUGCUGCCUCUCAGGUUGACCGGGAUGCUGCCAAGGCUCUGGAUGACGCUGCGGUUGAUACUUAUGAUCAGCAUGUAUCUGCUUAUUCCGAUGCUCUCUCUGUGUACCGGGAUGAUCUGUCUGCUUACACUCAGUGGUGCAAUGAUGAUGCUCGAGCUGCUGCUGUUCUCACCGCGAGUGUCCUCCCUCAGUUUGCUUCCGAGUUCAUGGGACUGGGCACAGUUGCCGCAUUAUGGUCUUAUCUCUGUCGGCGCUAUCAGCCAUCUGGUGAUGCUCUCUACCUAUCUGUGGUGCGCCAGGAGCACGCACUCUAGCAAGGUGAUGCUUCUGUUGAUGAGUUCUAUUCCCAGUGCUCUGCCAUCUGGCGCCAGCUUGACUCUCUUCCGACAGUUGUUUGUGGAACCUGUCAUUGCCGUCAGACUACUCGCUCUGAUCUGGAGUUUCAGCGGGUCCAUGAGUUCUUAUCUCGUCUCCGGUCUGAGUUUGAGCCUCGCCGUGCUCACUUGCUUGCUCGUGGUCGUAUUCCUAUCUCAGAGAUACUUGCUGAGCUUCGUGCUGAGGAGACCCGCCUUCGCUCAGCUGGGCUGCUUCUGGUUCCGUCAGUAUUGGUCACCCGGGCUUCUGUGUCGUCUGCUCGCCUCACUGCUCCGCCGCUUCUGCCUACUCCUCCAGGGGGUGAGCCGUCCUCCUUAUGCUGAGAAGGGCAUGUCGCGCCGUGACACCGUAUGUGGUUACUGCUCCCGGCCAGGCCACCCAGAGUCUGAUUGUCGCCAGAAGAAGCGAGACCAGAGACGCUCCUCCUCGAGCGGGACUCCUGUGUCUUCCUCGACUCCGUCACUCACUGACCAGGACAUUGUUCGCCUCAAGCGUCUUCUUGCGUCCUCAGGCUCCUCGUCGACUGCUUCUGCUGCUGCUGUGACUACAUCUCCUUCCUCACCAUCACCGGCAGCUACACAGUCAGGUACAUCUUCGUGGGUUCUGAAUUCUGGAGCCUCUUUUCAUGUCUUCUGAUUCUUCCGUGUUGUCUUCUCUCCGACCUCUUGAUUCUCCUGUUAAUGUUCUUACUGCCGAUGGCACAUCUCUUCCUGUUGCUAGUCGUGGUAUUCUUUUCACUCCAUCUUUUUCUGUUCCAAGUGUUUCACAUGUUCCUCGUCUUACCAUGAAUCUUUUUUCCGCUGCCCAACUUACUGAUUCUGGUUGUCGGGUCAUUCUUGAUACCGACUCUUGCUCCAUUCAGGAUCGUCGCACCAAGGCUUUGGUUGGUACUGGCCCCCGGCGCCGUGAGUCAGAGGGCCUUUGGGAGGUUGACUGGCUUUGUGUUCCUUCCUCUGCCACAACUUCUGUCAGCUCUCAUGCUCUUACUGCCUCUUCGUCCGCGUCCUUCCAGCAGUGGCAUCAUCGCCUUGGUUACAUCUAUGGAUCUCGCUUUUCUUCUUUAGUUCGUCAGGGCCUCUUAGGGUCUAUAUCUGGAGAUGUCUCCUUACAUUGUAAUGGUUGCAGACUUGGCAAACAGACUCAGUUACCUUAUCCUACUAGUGAUUCUGUAUCUCAACAUCCCUUUGACUUAGUUCAUUUUGACGUCUGUGGUCCUGCUCCCUUUGAUUCGAAAGGUGGUCAUCGCUACUAUAUUUUGUUUAUUGAUGAUUUCUCUCGCUACACUUGGCUCUACUUCAUGAAAUCCCGUAGCGAGGUUCUCUCAAUAUACAAACGUUUUGCUGCCAUGGUUCACACCCAGUUUGCCACGCCCAUUCGUACUUUUCGUGCUGACUCUGCUGGCGAGUUUAUCCCUCAGAUGUUGCGCGUUUUUCUCGCGGAACAUGGUACUCUUGCCCAGUUUUCCUGUCCUGGUGCUCAUGCUCAGAAUGGCGUUGCCGAACGAAAGCAUCGUCAUUUGCUUGAGACGGCUCAUGCGCUGAUGAUUGCUGCUUUCCUUCCACCCCAUUUUUGGGUUGAGGCUGUUUCCGCAUCCACCUAUCUCAUCAACAUUCAGCCAUCGACUGCUCUUCAGGGUGGUAUUCCUAUGGAGUGUCUCACUGGUCGCUCUCCUGACUACUCAGCUCUUCGUAUGUUUGGAUGCGUGUGCUAUGUUCUUCUUGCCUCCUGAGAACGCACCAAACUGACUGCUCAGUCAGUUGGGUUUGUUUUCCUUGGCUACAAUGAUGAGCAUAAGGGCUAUCGAUGUUGGGAUCCUGUGGGCCGUCGCUUGCACAUCUCGCGUGAUGUGACUUUUGAUGAGUCUCAUUCUUACUUUCCACGUUCUUCCUCCUCGAGUUUCUCUGUGGACGACCUUUCUUUCCUUCUCCUUCCCGAUACACCCUGCUAUGUGUCUCCUGUGUCACCUCUUCCUCCGGCACCUCUCAUUCCCUCUCAUUCACCACCAACCCCGUCUUCUCCAUCCUCCUCCUCCACCUCUCCUCCAUCAUCUCCAGUCCGUCACCCUCUCUUCCCGUUUCCCCUUCACUAUACUCGUCGAUCUCGUCCUGCGGAUGUGUCCUCUGACGAGCCUUCCACCUCUGGUGCCCCUCCUCCCACGCCUCCCCCGGUUCACAACCUCCGUGCUCGGCCUCGCCCCCACCUGAUUGCUACUCCCCUGAUCGGUACGGUCUCUCUGUUAUUGCUGAGCCUACUUCCUAUCGGACUGCCAUGACUCAGCCUGAAUGGCAACUUGCGAUGGCUGAAGAGCUUACUGCUCUUGAGUGCUCUGGCACAUGGGAUCUGGUUCCCCUUCCUUCCGGUGUCCGUCCCAUCACCUGCAAGUGGGUCUACAAGAUUAAGACUCGCUCCGAUGGUUCUCUUGAGCGCUACAAAGCUCGUCUUGUGGCCCGUGGUUUUCAGCAGGAGCAAGGGCGAGAUUAUGAUGAGACUUUCACUCCUGUGGCCCACAUGACCACUGUCCGCACUCUUCCUCCUGUGGCUUCUGUUCGUCAGUGGUCUAUCUCUCAACUUGAUGUUCAGAACGAUUUUCUCAAUGGCGAGUUGCGUGAGGAGGUUUUUAUGCAGCCACCACCGGGGUACUAUGCUCCUGAUGGUAUGGUCUGUCGACUUCGCCGCUCCCUAUAUGGUCUCAAACAGGCCCCUUGCACCUGGUUUGAGCGUUUCGCCUCUGUGGUGACUGCGGCUAGCUUCUUGCCCAGUGAUCAUGAUCCUGCGUUGUUUUUUCACAUGUCUCCUCGUGGUCGGACUCUUCUCCUUCUCUAUGUUGAUGACAUGAUCAUCACUGGUGACGACUCUGAGUACAUUGCCUUUGUUAAGGCUCGUCUUCGAGACCAUUUCCUCAUGACUGAUCUUGGUCCCCUUCGCUAUUUUCUUGGGAUUGAGAUCUUCUCGACCCUUGAUGGCUUCUACAUCUCCCAAGAAAAAUAUAUUCAGGAUCUUCUUACUCACGCUGCUCUUGGUGAUGAGCGCACAGCUGUCACUCCUAUGGAGCCCCACGUUCAGCUUCGUGCAUCUGAUGGUGACCCUCUUCCUAAUCCCACUCGCUAUCGUCACCUCGUUGGCAGCCUUGCCUAUCUUGCUGUUACGCGUCCUAACAUCUCCUAUCCUGUCCACAUCCUGAGUCAGUUUGUGUCAGCUCCCACCUCUGUCCACUAUAGUCACCUCCUCUGUGUUCUACGAUAUCUUCGUGGCACGAUCUCUCAACGCCUUUUCUUUCCCCGCUCCAGCUCGCUUGAGCUCCAGGCUUACUCUGAUGCUACCUGGGCUAGUGAUCCCUCUGAUCGACGCUCGCUGUCUGCUUACUGUGUCUUUCUUGGUGGCUCUCUUAUUGCCUGGAAGACAAAGAAACAGACUGCAGUUUCUCGCUCAAGUACAGAGGCUGAGUUGCGAGCCAUGGCUAUGUUGACGGCUGAGGUGAUCUAGUUACGAUGGUUACUUGAGGAUUUUGGUGUGUCUGCUACUACCUCCACUCCUCUCCUGUCCGACAGUACCGAUGCUAUCAGUAUUGCUCGUGACCCGGUGAAGCAUGAGCUCACCAAGCACAUCGGUGUGGAUGCCCACUUUGUGCGUGCUGCUGUGCAGGAUCAGACUCUUGCUCUUCACUAUGUGCCUUCCGAGUUACAGUUGGCGGACUUCUUCACCAAGGCACAAACUCGAGCGCAACAUAGUUUUCUUCUCUCCAAACUCAGUGUUGUUGAUCCACCAUGAGUUUGAUGGGGGGUGUUAGAUGUGUAUAGACACUUGUCUGUAUAUCCCCAAUGUAUAAGGGGUUUCUCUGCACUUUGACACACAUGUAUAUGUACUGGCCUCUGGCCUCAGUUAAUGUCAAGUUGCUCAUUCCUAACAAUAAACACAACAAGACUAUCAAAUUUUAGUUACAAAUCAAGCAAAACUCUCACAAGGUCUACAGAACUGAAAAGUAUAAUUUCUCCUAGACUACAUCUCAGCAAUGACAGAUUUACUUUCUUUUUUGAGAAAGUGUCAAAAAAUUUCAAACAUAUAGAGCAGUAUUAGAAGUCCAUGCUCAUACCUCUUCUUUAUCCUGGAACUAUUAUGCCAUCUCCAUUAGAAGUUGCUGGAAGAAUAUGACCAAAAAUAAUAGUGCAUGUCAUAGCCAAGAAAUCAAGAUCAAGCACAAGUUUUCUAUUAGGAAUCAGACCAAGAAGAGAACCGUAUAAAUUUAGAGAAAAUAUGCAUCUAUACUAUUAGUGCAGAUCAUAACUAAGAAACCAAGAUGAAUAUUUUUACUCGAGUUCUCUUUUAGGAAUCACACCUUUUCGCUCAGAAUAUCCAUGCAAGAGAGCAUUGUGAGCUGGCUAGUGGGCCCUGGGACCAUCUGUAACUGUGUGUGCGUGUCGUGUAGGAGGAGUAUAUGUGACAGUCAGUCUCUGAAUUCUCUGUCUCGUUCUCUGAACCUCACAAACUCUCUUGUAUGGCUUCCUCCUCGUAUCUUCAAUUCCCCAUCCCCAAACUCUCCUGUAUGGCUGAUGAAAUAGAUGAUUCGAGAAAUCACAAAAUUUUAAGAGAGAAGGAAGAGAAACUUAUGGCACUUAUUGGGUGGUUGUACAUCUUCUAUCCAGAUCAGGCCAAAGCAGGCGGGACUGUGGACUCAGUCGCGGAAGGCCUCCAGGGCAAGCGGGAAAUCUCGAGGUCGGUGUUGAGCAAUGAUAGGGUGGAGAUGUUGCCGUGCUCCAUGCACAGUCACCGGGCGAACCCCUUGAACACAUCCGCUGCAGCGUGCUGCCGCUCGAAGUUGUCAUAGGCAGGAGAAGGUCAGCUACGGCCAUAGAGCCACGAGAAAGAGAGCGAUGGAAUUGGGGGAAGGGCGCGUGGGCCUUGGAGGUGGGACGACGUGCAUACGUGGGCUGUUUUAUUUUCUUUUUGAUUUUUCUUUCAUGCAAGGAGUUUUUUUUUGCACCAAAUUUAGGAGCUUUAUUGAUCAAGUAGCAUGAGGUUACAAUCAGUUCUGGACCCAAUCCAGCUUUCAGUGCCAUCCAGUGAGCAGGCGAGGCGAGCACACUGAUGGGCUGGUACAUUGCAAGAUCUACCAAUAUGAGUAACCGUCAAAGAAGCAAAACUAGCACUAAUCUCCUCUAAUUCCUCCAAGAUAGGCGCAACAAUUGAACGAGAAUUGUCGCGCGAUUUCCAGAUGUUGACUAGCUCUAGGCAGUCAAUCUCCAUUACCACGUGUGAGAAGCCGCGAAGUUGAGUGAAGAUCAUCCCCUCCCGGAAAGCUAAAAGUUCAGCAAUGAACGGGUCAGUGACACCCGAUAGGGGUUUACUCCAUGCUCCAAGAAAUGAAAGGUGCGAACGCACCACCCCUCCCGCUCCAGCCUUCGUGUCUUCAAUACUGACAGCAACAUCCGUGUUUGUAGUAACCCAACCUGCCUCGGGCGGGCGCCAACACUGAGCUGCCGAGCUCUUCUUGCGCGAUGGUGGAAGAUCCAGAAUAGCCAAGGUUUCAUGUAUCCACUUCAGGGCUUGAACUGGGUCGUAGCCAUCGCGAUCAUGAGUCCAACAGUUAUGUGAUGACCAUAUGAUGUGCAUGAUCGUAACAAUCCUGCAGCGGUCUUCUUCUGCGAACUGGGUGUCCAUCAGGAUAUCCCGUGCCCAAGUAUCCGGAUGCAAAUGAGGUUGAUGAAGUUGAAAUCUAUCUGCAGCUGCAAUCCAGAACUGCCUUGCAUGCGAGCAGUGAACUAGUGCAUGAAACAAGUUUUCAUCAAUUGCUUUGCAAAUACCACACCGGCCCAAUGGCUUAAUGUGUCGGUAUUGCAAAGUGACCGAAUCUGGUAGUAUACCCCAGAGUACUCUCCACCAGAAUACACGGACUUUUGGAACCACAUGUAAUUUCCAUAGGACAUUCCACAUCUGUUUGUUAGCUGAUGAAGUUUCUGUAAUCGUCCCUUCCUCUAGAGCGUGUUGCUCGUUCCGAGUCACAAGAGAGCGAUACACGGAUUUUACAGAGUAGUUGCCAGAUUUCUCUAAGGCCCAUGCCAAAAAAUCUUGGCCAUCGUUGAUGUUUAGGGGUAUAUUGAGGAUAGCUUCAACAUCCGGUUGCAAGAAAUUUGCUUGAAUGAUGUCCACAUUCCAGUUGCCUGUGUAGUCAUCUAUCAGUUCUAAGACCGUGGCUAGUGGGGAAGAGCCAAUGCGCCGCAUCGGUUUCAGAAAGAGAUUGCCAGGGAUCCAGGGAUCUAUCCAAGUGGAGAUAGUAGAACCGUCUCCAACUCUUUUGAUAAGCCCAACAUCGAGGGCCUUUCUCCCCGCAAUAAUUGCUUUCCACGUAGUCGAGGCUCGAGCAGGAGCACUCGCAUUAAGGAAUUCGGUGUGCGGAAAAUAUUUACCCUUAAGCACUCGCGAGCACAAAGACUCCGGUUUUGUGAGAAGAUGCCAACCAUGUUUCCCGAGCAUUACGAGAUUCAACACCUGCAUGUCACGGAAACACAUGCCGCCCUUCACUUUGGGUGUUGCAAGUUUAUCCCAAGAGAGCCAGUGGAGUGUGCGUUUGUCUAUGGAGCUCCCCCACCAAUAUUUGGCCAUGCAUGAAAUAAUACUCUUGCACACCUUUUUGGUAAGCAGAAAACAGCUCAUACUGAAGGUAGGGAUGGCCUGAACCACUGUUUUGAGCAAUACCUCUCGUGUCACACAUGCCAUGUUCCUUUCGGAGUAGCCGUGUAGCUUACUUCGACAUCGAUCCACAAUAUGAUAAAACGUCCCAUUAGUUAUCUUGCCAAUAGCUGUAGGUAAACCAAGGUAGCGCUCCGAAAAGGCCUCAACAUGUAUGUCCAGAGAUUGCUUGAGCAUCUGCCUUGUGGGUUGAUGUGUAUUGGUGCUAAAAAAUAUAGAGCUUCUCUCCCUGUUCACUGCUUGUCCAGAACAAUCAGCGUAAAUCCGGAGAAUAUCGUUCCAUCUAUCUGCACUCUGAGCUUGUGCAUUCAAGAAGAUAAGGCAGUCGUCGGCAAAAAGCAAGUGAUUAACCCAAGGUGCAUGGAUACUCACCCUAAUUCCUCGAUCAAUGUAUGCUCCACCAAAAUUAUUCAGGAGUGAGGUAAGGCCUUGAGCACAUAGCAGGAAGAGAUACGACGAGAUGGGGCAUCCUUGCCGUAAACCUCGUGAGGGAGUGAAGUACGGUAGUAGCUCUCCAUUCACCUUAAUGGUAAACCGAACAGAAGUGACACAUUUCAUAACCAACCGUAUAAAAGCAUCUCCAAAGCCCAGCCUCGCAAGCAUUGCUUCGAGAUAGUGCCAUUCCACUCUGUCAUAAGCCUUGAGCAUGUCCAGUUUGACAUCACAACAAGAAUUCUUUCCCUUUUUCCUCCGCUUAAUAGCAUGGAUAGUCUCAUAAGCCACAAGUACAUUAUCUGUAAUUACGAGACCAGGUACAAAUGCACUUUGCUCUUCCCCUAUAACCUCAUCCAGAAUACCACGGAGUCUAUUGGCAAUUGCUUUGAUGGCAAUUUUGUAGAGCACCGGGCAUAAGGCAAUGGGACGAAAUUGUGAGAUUUUCUGCGGGUGUCGUACCUUAGGGAUCAGCGUGAUGGCAGUAUCAUUCAAGCCUAGAGGUAACUCUCCCCCGUUCAGAAAGGCAAGCACGGCCAUUGUUAUAUCCUCACCUAGAACAUUCCAAUGCCGUUGAUAGAAACCUGCCGUAAAACCAUCCACCCCGGGGCCUUGGAUGGUGCCAUAUCAAACAACACCUUUUUCACCUCCUCCGCUUUGUAAGGUCGCUGGAUAAAGUCGUUCAUAGCAUCGGUGACACUAGGCUGUACACAGUCAAGUAACUCAUUCAUCGGCCUAAAACCUUGUGUUUGAUACAUGUCUUGAAAGAAAUCACCAACUUCUUUUUUCACUUCCUCUGGAUCUUGCAAUAUCUGACCGUUGGAGUUUUCCAGAGAAGUAAUGCGGUUCUGUCUCUUACGCUGCGCGGCCUGGGCCUUAAAGUAGCCCGUGUUGCGGUCUCCCUCACGUAGCCAGAGAACCCGCGAUCACUAUUUGAGCCAUAUCUCCUCUUGGCGUAAGGCUUCACGCAGCUGAGAUGAAACGGACAACUCCUCUUGCGAAGGGCCACGCCCCAUCGAGGAGCUUCUCACACGUUCUAGGCGCUUUUGGAGUGUGCGGACUUUCUUUGAGAGAUUGCCAAACUCCCGUUCACCCCAGGAUCCUAGAUCCUUUUGGACGAUGGCCAAAGCAUCGACCACUCCUUGUAAACCUUCUUGUCCAGCGCCAACCCGCCAAAGAUCAAGGAUCAGUUGAUCAUAUUGGGCAUGGCACUGCCAGACGUUUUCAUAUCUGAAUGACCACUGCUUCCGUUGCCACUUGUUCUGUUCUGAAGUUCUUGGCUCAACGACUACGAAACAGUGGUCAGAUUCCACACAACUGAUAUGCUUCACAUUCGUUGCUUGAUAAAGAUUUAGGAACUGCGCAUUAGCCAGGGCACGAUCGAUGCGAGCUUUCACAUUCGACGCCCCAUCCUGUCUGUUAUCCCAUGUAAAGGGAACCCCUCUCCAUCCCAAGUCUUGGAGAGAACAGUCCGCUACCACAUCCUGGAAAGCCCGAAUCUGGGAUUGCGGUCUGGGAUUAGAACUGAAGUGCUCAUCCGCAUGCAACAUCUCGUUAAUCACCCAUGCAUAACCAUGCCCGAUGCGGGACAGCAAAUAACGUACGAAGGAAACGCCAACUAUGGUGUCUAUUUUCCACUCAUGGCUCUCCGUAGAAACCAGUAAAACGCCAAGCUUUAUUGCCAUGUUUCACAUAAACAUCAAUGUGUGACGGGCUGUAAUUUUCAAGCUUGACAUCAACAUCUUUGGAGCAGAAAAGGCCAACACCACCACUAAGACCGUUGCUAUCAGCAGCAAAACAACCGGAAAAACCUAAAGAAAACUUUAAAUCUUCCACUCUUUUGCCCUUUAUCUUGGUUUCCAUUAAGAACAGAAGGGCGGGUCCUUCUUGCUUCACAAUCUUGCGAAGCUCACGAACUGUUUGAGGGUUCCCAAGCCCUCGACAGUUCCAGCUUAUUACACUCAUUUGGCCGGGCAGCGCUAACCAGCAGACGCCGCCGAAUUUUCUGACGAGGGUGGAGUGGGCUUCUUUUUCUUUGGGUGUCUGUCAGCCACCAAUGCUCCAUCUCCCUCCUCCCCCUCAGAGGUCGAAGCACCUGUAACAAGGUCCAUAGCUGCAGUUUCAGUUCCUUGUUCCCCUUGCUGAGUAAUAGCCAGUACAGGCGUCUGAACCACCGGUCUGUACACCUGAGUCUGCGGUCCUCCUUUCCUCUUGUUUUGGAUAGGUUUCUUAGGAGAGGUGACCUCAUUGGCAGUGGAUUUCUGCUGAGGCAUCGACGUGCGAGAUUCCCUUGUGCUAUUUUGCUACUCAAACUUCUCCUUCGCCGAGCUAUCUCCAGAAUUAGGUUUCUUCUUCUCAUCCGAUGCCCUAAGCGAAGAUCUGAAAGGCAGAUCACCCUUCUCAUCUCUUUUCCCCAGAGUUGGGCACAGGAGGUCUGAGUGUCCAAGUCGGCCACACGAAAAGCAAAAGUGAGGCACCUAUUCGUACUGAAUAUCAUACCAGUCUGUUUUGUUCCUUCUGGCCGACUCGAUCGCUAUCCAUCUACGGAGAGGCUUCUGUACAUUGAUUGAAACUCUGGAUCUGAGGAAGCCACCCACCGGAUCUAUCUGCACUGCAGUUGCCUGAGUAUCAAUCUGCCUGGCAAUAGCUAAGCCCCACUUAUCAUUCCUCAUAUUGUAGGGCAAAUUCACUACCCUGGCCCAAAGCUGAAGCCGGUCGAAGCGAAGCUCUGACAGCUGCAUAUGGGGCUGGAAGUUCUCAAGGAUUAUCACAUGUUUGUUGAUGUGCCAAGGCGAUCCAUCCCAAACCCGAUCUCUAUCCCGUUUUGAUUCAAAUUCCGCCACAAACAUGUUUUCCCCUAAGGGUCGUAUGGACAAGCCCCUAGGGUUUCCCCAUGCUGGACGAAGGGCGUUAGAGAUCGUCUGUAUGUGGAAGAGAUUUCGGUGCAACACUUUGCUAGCCAGGAGCCACUUCAGUGGCGCAUCAUCAUCCUCCAGAUCGUUGAUCACCAGAGGAGUUGCUUCUUCCUCCGAGAUGUUGAGUUUGCCCAGCGCCUCCUCCAUCGCCGCCCUGGUCGAGCGGUCUUGAGAGGAGNNNNNNNNNNNNNNNNNNNNNNNNNNNNNNNNNNNNNNNNNNNNNNNNNNNNNNNNNNNNNNNNNNNNNNNNNNNNNNNNNNNNNNNNNNNNNNNNNNNNNNNNNNNNNNNNNNNNNNNNNNNNNNNNNNNNNNNNNNNNNNNNNNNNNNNNNNNNNNNNNNNNNNNNNNNNNNNNNNNNNNNNNNNNNNNNNNNNNNNNNNNNNNNNNNNNNNNNNNNNNNNNNNNNNNNNNNNNNNNNNNNNNNNNNNNNNNNNNNNNNNNNNNNNNNNNNNNNNNNNNNNNNNNNNNNNNNNNNNNNNNNNNNNNNNNNNNNNNNNNNNNNNNNNNNNNNNNNNNNNNNNNNNNNNNNNNNNNNNNNNNNNNNNNNNNNNNNNNNNNNNNNNNNNNNNNNNNCGAACGAGGUGGGGGGUAUCGAAGGAGGUUGAAGCAUCGAAAGAGAUCGAACUAUCAUGACGUUUGAUCCCCCUUUAAUAGUAGAGAUUAGGAAGCCCUCUCGUCCUGCGUCCCGCACGGAAAAAAUCCAACGCAAAAAGAAAAGAAAAUAGGGCUAAAAAAAAACCGCAACCCACACAUGCAGUCAACAUCACCCACGACUCCCGCCCGUGCUAAUCCAAUGCCCCCGCCGACUCCUCCAGCUCCUCCACAAGUGCAGUCUGGAGCAUGUACCUACAUUAGCCGGCGACAUGGGGGCCGCCGUGGCUGUUGCAGACGGCGAAGAACUGCAGUCGAGGCAGUCAUUCAGAGCCGGAACCAUGGUGGCGGCUUCCUCCAUCUCCGGGCAGCAUCUGUAGGAGGACUCGAGACCCCACAGCGGCGAGGAGUCGAGGGUGAAGAUGGUACUUCACGAGUAGGAUAUUGGCGCGGCGUGUGCGGGCAGAUCGAUCAUCUGAGACGAGCAUGUCAGGUCCCUCUCUGAAUUUUUUAGUCGGGAAAUUAUUGACACCUCCCCUGUUUCGGCAUGUCAGAUGAUGUUGUUGACGUUCAUUUGCCAUCCAACGGCUCACAAGACAGGAUACCAGUUCGCCUAGUUGUAGUCGACAAAUUCAUUGAUCGGGGAUCAAACGUCUCACAGACUUCUCCACAUCGCUGUUCAAUGUCCGGCACUUCUUGCUUGAGUUCUCUUUUCAUCUGCUGCCUUGUUGUAAUGGCUGCAAAGCUACUUCUUCUAUAACAUUUGGGACAAAGUUAUGGUAAUUGGCAGUGGCGGAGCUUGGGACACAUCUUAGGAGGAGCAAAUGGGCUGGGGGGCAACUAACAUCAGGUUUAGGCUAGAUUUCUAUGAAUCUAUGGGCAAUUACCUAUGAUAAUAUGAAGAAAUCUUCUGGGUAGGGGGGGCGAUGGCCCAGCUUGAUCUCCACUAAGCUCCGCUACUGGUAAUUGGGUUGUAAACCCUAGACGCCCACUACUAGGAAAAGCGCUAUAGACAGCCACAUAACAGUGCCAUGUGGUAGGUAGGCCACGCUGCUGCUAUUUAGAAGUAGCACGGUGUUGAACCCAGCGCUGCAGGUGAACAUUAGCGGUUGCGCGGGUUCAUAGAAUCACUAAUUAUAACAUCAAAUGUGUUCUAUCUACAAAUGAUAGCUAUCAACCACACAAUCUUAUAUUUAUUCCGUUCUUUUUGUAGCAGAUGCUUCUUCCAUGUUGAAGAUGAAGAAGCGAUAUCAAGUAGUACCAAGCAUUACCGACGGCAUGCCGAGCACUCGUCCUCGACUGGUUCUAUACCCCCAUCCACGAAAUGAGUUUUCCUUUUAUGGUUUUACCUUAAUAAGCUACACAUCUUUUUGUGAAAAAAUUAUUCAUGGUUCCUUGACAAAUUCAUCAAUGUUUUAUGUGGGUGGGUGGUGUGUGUGUGUGUGUGGGGGGGGGUAGAUUGAUACCUUAAUUUAUCACUAAUGGGAAACCUACUAUUACCUACAAAGCCUUACACUUGGGAGCCAAACAACUGUUGUCAAGAAAAACUACCUGGAACAAUAAUACUAGGGGUCUUCCAGCACUUUUUCAUCACCUCAAUGGAGCUAAACAUGUUCAUAUGUUCAAUACAUUAGCCUCCUCAUCACUUGUCAUUAUCACCAGAACCCUUUAGGUGCUUCAAUGUUCUUUUAAUAUCAAAUAUUGAAUCAUAUGUAUGCAAAAGUAGUAGCGUCAUCUAUAAUUCUUUUAUAGGUUAUUACUAUUAACAAAUGGUUUUUUAGUACCGGGUAGAACAGUGGCGUCGACGAGCCGCCUGCAGCUCUGCCCAGUUCACAUCCUAGUUUCUCCCUCAGCGCAGACAAAUAUUCUGGAAAGAAGAACCUAAUCCCCAAACAGAAAAAUAGAAACAUCAGCAACAAAGGAUAAAGUGCACCAAACUUUGGGCAACCUGUAGCUAACUCAGAUUGCCUGGGCUAGAGAAAUAUAUAUCAACAAAUGGCUAACCAAAUCAACAAUACAAGACUCUAAACAUCUCCUGAAAUCUCUUUGGUUCGAUAGCCUACAAGCCUGUGGCGCCUAUGCGAAGCCUAUCCCCCAACCAGGUGUGAAGAUCCCUUUGAAGCAGGACUGUUGGCAGAUAGGGAAGGGAUUCAGGCAGCGACCACCUAUGCAACAGAGCCGUUUGUCCUUCAAACUGACUGUUGGAAUCUGAUUAAGACGCUGGAGAAUCCGAGCCAAGAUAUGUCACGACUAGGCCAUCUGGAUAGAGAGGUGAAGAAGUUCUCGUGGAAGAAAGGAGGCCAUCUAGUUAGAGAGGUGAAGAAGUUGUUCGUGGUAGAUGGUAGCCCAAAAUAUCCCACUCUUGCAAUGCUCAAACAUAACAACUUUCACAACAACUUCACCGUAUUCAUUACACUGGAUCUCCACAUGCUUAAAUUCCAAAAAUCCCGCAAAAGGAAACAAGUAGUGCACAUCAUAUAUUAUCUGCAUAUUGUUUACUGAAGGAAUCAGGAAGUAUGUAUUUUUUUUGAUAGAAGUCACAUCAGGAGUCCUCAGAUUUGUGAUAACAUCAGAAUUCAGAACACUAAAAUUGGGGCAGAGAAUCAUGACAAUGGUUUAAUAUAUACUCAAGAAGUUUCUUGAAAAAUAUUUAUCUAAUCACACACUAAAACCCUCCUUCCAUCUAUAUAGGGCCUAAUGCGUUUUUCGACGCUAACUUUGACCAAAUGUUAGAGCAAUAAUAUAUGACAUGCAACUUACACAAAGCACAUCAUCAAAUUCGUAUGUGAAAGGAGCUUUCAAUGAUAUAAUUUUCACAUUAUGCAUGUCAUGUAGUAUUAAUUUUAUCAAUAGUCAAAGGCGGUUUUGAAAAUAUAUUAUUGCUCUAACAUUUAUUAUAGACACAAUAUAUAGUCUUUGUAGUUGUGAAAAUAUAUUAAAAGAAUUGCCUUUAAAAAAUAUAGUUUUGUUUUAGAACAAUGUGAGUAUACUUUACAAUGAUAUAUACAACACAACUGUGUAAAAUGCACUACAAAAUGGAACUAUGACGAAUAAAUAAGAUAAAAGUAUACUCUUUAUGACGGUAGCACUAAAAAUAAAUUAAAAACAAGUAUAAAAGUUUAGUAUAAAUUAUAUUUGUGUGAAUUUACUCAAGUUUAAAUAUUGAUUGAACUACCCUAAAUGUAAUAGUUAGCAUUUUUAACAAAGUGGUCGACUCAUUCAGAUCGAUGCGCUCUCUAGCAAUAGCCUUGAGAAAUACACACUUAUUUUAGAUCGAUGGUAAGCUUUUUUGAAUCUUAUUUACGGGUUUUUUUGGGCCCGCUCGUCUAUAUCUCCGCCUCACAGGUUCUCGCCUCCCGCAUCUGGGCACAACAGGGCACCCUCUACGUAGUUGUCGACGUCGUUUGCCUUUUUAUCCCGAGGUACCCCCAAUCCUAGCCCCUCCCCUUUAAAUCUUCGGCUGUUCUUGAACCAUUCGGGAUUUACGGGAUUCGGAUAAUCAACGAGCAUUGGGCGCCGCGACAGCAGUCUCCCGUUCGUCAUCGGUCAGCGAACCACAACCAUCGCCCCCUUCUAAUUAAGCAGCAGUUUCAUGAAACAUGCAAGGACAUAUACAAGAUCCAUUUUAUUUUAGCAAUGCACAUCAGUUGACUGAAACAUGUUUUACAUAGGACACAAGGACGAAUAAGAUCAUACAAAGAUUGAUCACGCCUUUGGUCCCAGUUCGUAGCACAACCGGGACUAAAAGUGUGGGCCUUUAGUUUCGAUUGCUUAGCCCCGGUUGCAGAGCCGGGACUAAAGGCCCUCUAGAAUCGGACUGAUGCCCUGUUUUCUACUAGUGUUGGUGUCUAAAACCAGGACCGAAGACAGACCUUUAGUCCCGGUUGGAGACACCAACUGGGACUAAAGGGUGUUGCUCCUAGCGCAACCCCUUUAGUCCCAUUUGGUGUCUCCAACCGAGACUAAAGGUCUCAUUCGAACCGGGAUUGGUGCCUGCCGAGCCCCGUCUGGCGUCCGAGCUGCUCGAACCGGGACUAAUGCUCACAUUAGUCCCGGUUUGUAACACGACCGGGUCUAUUGCUCCGAUCCUGCUAGAACCAAAGCCCUAUUUUCUACUAGUGCUAAUAUAUUUCAUUAUUAAUUUACUAUGUUCAUUUUGUGCUCUAUGAGUGAAGAUUAGGUAACAUUGGCUUCAGUUGUUUUGUUGUUUAGGCCAAUAGAGGUUUUUAUCUUCGUAUGUCAAUGUUAGGUUUUUAACCAGAUUUGCAUAGAUUUGUCAUUUGAUAAUUAUUGUUCACAUGUAUUCAUGUGUCGGCCUAAAUCAUAUGAUUCUGAUCAUUGUAUUACUGCUUCAACCUAUAUACUCACAGGAAUAAAAGUGGUUUGAAGAAUGAAGACACACAUGCUUGGCGACAUAUUGAAUAGGUUGCUUGGCUGCUCGGCUCACCCGAAGGAAGGUCAUGUGAUUAUACUUGAACAAUAUUCAAACAAUUGGACAAUGCAACUCAGGUUGGUGAAGAAGGAAACAUGGUAAGCUAGGGUGAGCCAGGUGACGUGCCUACCAAAGUGUAGACAAGUGGUGUUCGAUGGUGUGCAGUAUCGAAAAGGGAAUGAGAAGCUUUGUUGAUAAUAAUUACAAGUUUCGGCCCAUAAGCCAAAAAAGGGCAGUGUGGCCGGCCUGAGAGUAGGAGGGCCCCAAAUGCGAAAAUUGCACUAGUAAUCACUAUACUAUCUUAUAUUAGGUCCAAAAUAUCGUAAAUUGCUUUUGGACUUUAUGGAGGUCUCCAAAUACAAAAUUCAAAGUUCAUGAAAAUUCAUAUUUUUACAUUUCAAAAAAUUCUGAAAAAAUACAGGUAUAGAUGAAGGCAUAAUGUACAACUUUGUAAAUUUUUAUGACGAAAUACGUUAAAAUGAGGGUUGUGCAAAAAAAAAAAAAUUGGGUUUUUUUAACACAUGAUACUAUUCAUCCUCCUAGACCAUGAUUUUUUCGUUUUUGUACAGGUCGCAUUUCAAUGUAUUUCAUCCUAAAAUUUUACACACAUACACCUCACAUCGUUGUUUACUUGUACAAAAACAUUCAGAUUUAAAAAACUUUUUUUUUAAAUGGCCUCCAUGGAAGCCAAGAUCCAAAACGCUCUACUCUCCAAAAUAUUAUCAAUUACAUAAAAGAAUAGCCUUAAUUUUGACGAGACAAGUUCAUACCACAUAGUAACAGUGUAUACCACCCUUAUGUGCGAAAUUAUAAAUAUCCCCUUUAAGAUCAAACAGUUCCAUCGAAUUGAUAUGACUGUAUGUGUGAUAGCAUCUACGAUAAGAGGAAUAUCAAUGAACCCCAUUCUUGCAAUUUCUGAGGAUACCCUCUUUUAGCUACUAGGUCAAUUUCUUAAUUAAAGAUCCCUCUUACUAACUGGAAUAAAAGAAUUAGUAGAUUUUUUCAUCCCAAAAUAUGAAUGGUUUUGAACUUAUAAAUUUAAUGAUGUUGCUAUUGCCUGAUGGGCUUGCUGCAUGUUAUAAUAGUUAGAUUUCCAUGUUAACCUAAUGUGCAACUUUUCAUUGGAGAAAAUUUUAUGAGUUCUUGAAUACACCAACUUAAACCAAGUGCAUUCUAGAUGAGCAUAUGAAAUUACCAGAUUGUACACACAUACAAAAGAGUCGGCAAUAUUUUAUUCUUGAUUAUUACAAUAACGAUGUUGUUGUCAAUACAAGUACAAAGCAUACAAAUGAUGUCAACUUAUUACUGAAUCCAACUUGCAAGAAUAUUUGUUAUACACUCAAAGUUUCUAUAGACAUGCUUGCCCAGUAAUACACUACAAACCAUUAUUUUAACAUAUUUCUUAUAGUGUAUGAAUUAGAAAUUUGUACCCAUGAUAUUUAAUCAUAUUAAAGUACAUAUGAACACACCCAUACAUGCAAAUAUGUGUUUUUAAGUAUAUAAUUUGUGCAAUGUUAAAAUGAGUUCCUUACAUCGUAAAAUUUGCAUUUAAUAAAAGUAAAAAACAUUGCAUAUUACAAUUUUGUAACAACACACACUAUAACUACUCUAUAAAAACAUCAUUAUGUGGUGAACUAUGAUAUAUAGGCAAUAGAAUUUUUUUGCUCGGUAACUAUAUUAUGAUACUUUUUGUUACAAUAAUCUAGUAUGGUACGAUUAAAUUAAAUAAGCAUAAAAGUUUAGCAUGCAAAUAUUUAUUUUACUUUUCCCCCAUACAAAAAUUGCUUGGAUCAUCUCUAAGACAAAAAUAUUUAUUUUCUUAUUUUCCCGAUGGAGCCGCACCGACACACCCGAGAUAAUUCAAACAAGUACAACAUAAAUUAUUUUUCAUUCAUUGUCAACUCAGUGAUCGAAUCAUUCAGAUCGAUGCGCUCUCCGACCUCUAGCCAAAAAGCACAGGAUUCACUAGUAGAAAAAGGGUCAUCUGUCCCGGUUGGUAAGGGCCCUUUGUCCCGGUUUUUGAAACCGGGACUAAAGGAUCAUUACUAAUGCCCUAGCCCUUUAGUCCCGGUUCUUACACGAACCGGGACAGAUGGGCCUUUGGUCCCGAUUGGUGGCACCAACUGGGACCAAUAGGCAUCCACGCAUCAGCAUUUCAGGGGCUGGGGUUUUUGUUUUUUUUGAAGGGGGAGGGGUUGGAGGUUUUGGGGGUUUAAUUUAGGUGUUUCAUAUAUUGUGUUAGCUAGCUAAUUAAUAGAGAGAAGUGUCCUCUCUUAUGUCCGUGCUUGGUCGACGCUAUAUAUACAUAUAGAGAGGACUAGACAUGCUAGCUGGUAAGCAAAUGAAGGAAACAAAAGAUCGUCAUGAACAUAUGUAUACAGAGAGAAGUGAUAUCGACCACCUCUCCUCCGAGAGAUUGGUCGAACAACAAGUUCUCGUAUAUCUAUCUGACACUACCGGCUACAUAUAUACAAUAAUUAUCUCUUACAAUAUAAUCUCCUAAUUAUAUAUGAACACAGGGUCCACAUAGUAUUCUCCGUCUUCAGCGAUCACGUGGUCAAGGAAGAAUGCCGCCAAUUCCUCUUGAAUUGCUCGCAUACGAUCUGGUGGUAGGAGUUCAUCCCGCAUCCGAAAGAUCUAAUUUGAACAAGGGGGUUAAUACAUAUAUAAAUGAAUAAAUGAAACUCAACACAAAUGAUGGUAAUAAAAUAAAAUUGUGAAUAUUAUUGCUUACGCACUUCAUAUUGUUCGUCAGAGUACCCCCAUUCACAGGUCGUGUGGCGGAUGGACUCGCAAACGUAGUAUCCACAGAAAUCAUUCCCUUGUUCCUGCCACAAUCACUUUACAAGAAAUAGAGGUCAAUCAAACUAAUAAGCAAGCAUGCCAAAUGGUAUUGAUGAAACUAGCGCUUGAAUCACUAGGAGAUGCACAGAACAUGUUACUAUGGUACUUACUUUCGGGUGUCUAAAUUGCAGCUUCUUCGGCAGUUCCGGAGCUUUUUUGGUGAAUUUUCUCCAAACCCUGCCAGACAAAGAAAACAAUUACUUGAUAUCAGGAAAUGAACAAAGUUGCUGAUAUGGUGGAUAAUGAUCGAUUUAACUUACUUCUCGAGCAUUUGAGUCAUGUCCGCAUAGUCCUGGGGAUCUUUUCAUCUCGAGUCUAAGACGGUUACUAGUCCCUGCUCAAGCUUAAUCUCUAGGAGAAUAUAGUGGAAGCUGCGCACGCAUGCAUAACUCAUCAAUUACAUUACUAUAACCUGGACUAGUAAGGGAAACUGAAUAUGCACAAGACAGUAACACUCACUUGAAGUUGUAAGGAAAGAGUAUUGUAUCUUUGUUUUCAUUUAUUAUCAACGAUCGUAGCAAGUUGGCCUCGGUAUCUUCGGCAUGAUAUUUAACCUCAGUUGCAUCUAUGAGAUUUGUGUUAAUGAACCCAAUAUCACCGAUUUGUCUUUUCUUCAAUUCGGCGAUCUUCAAUCUGCAUAAUAUAGUGAGAAAAAUUAUAAAUACAUGCAAUGAAAGAGCUGACCUAUAUAGAGAGACUUAAUGACAGAAGUAGUACUACUUAGAGACAGUAGCAAGUGACCGUUGCUUUGUUGAGGGCCUUUUGAUUGAAAAACUGGAAGAACUCCUCAAAUGGAACAUUCAACAGUUCAAUUCCAACGAGGUCAUGAUCCUCUCUAACUCUCAGUGUCAAAGUAUCCCUCCCCCAGACUCUCUGCAAGUUUUCAUGUACCAAUCAUGGAAUCUUCGCAUCAUCGUUGUUAGAGAUCUUUCAUCUUUGACGGGAGGCUUCCCGUACUCGUAUUUGUGUUCCUCCACCUCCAAGAAAUCAUAAUGUACAUCGUCGGGCAGGUAAUCUCCAAGAUUGCUAUAACCGGGCACCAUCCUCGGAUCAUUAGCGACGAUGUUGCUAGACACCUUGAGCGGGGGGCACGAUUGGUUCGCUUGUUCGCCGAGCUGGGCAAUUUUUUUCCCAGCUCGCCGUUCUUUUAUCCUUUGAUCACUGCAGUAUUUCCCGACCGCUCCGCUUGGACAAAUGUCUUUGCAAUAAUGCACUCAUAGUUUCCUUUCAGCGGAGACUUUGGUGGUUUUGUCAGGGCAGCCAGAGUGCGCUUUGCUUUCACCGGAUCUACCUUCUCCUCCGGAGGUGGAUGUUUCUUUGCUUUCACCCCUUGAAAGAAGUUCGUCACUUCGGCUUGCGCGGUCUUCGUGUUCUCCUCCGGGGUCCUCUCGUAUGGUAACUUCUCUGGAGUCUUCAGAGAAGGACCGAAUUUGUAUUGCCUCCCGUCUCUGGCUGUACUGCUAGACGCCGGCAGAGCAGACGGAGCGGCUGCAGCUGUCUUCUCUCCUUGCUUACGAGGCGGAGGAGAAGGACUACGACGCACCGGAGCGACCGGAGAGGCGGGGGGUCUCUUCCGCCCUUGCUGGCGAGGCGGAGAAGGAGGAGGCUGGUUGCUCGGGUGCGCCGGCGCAGGCGGAGAAGGACGCGGAGUGCCGCCACGCGCCGGAGAAGGAGGCUGAGUGCCCUAAUCACUCGCCGGAGGAGGAGGCGGAGGAGGAGGCGGAGUGCCCUUCAAGCCGGAGGAGGAGGAGGAGGCGAAGGCGUCCAGUUCGAAAGGUUGAUGAGCUCCUUCCGCCAUAGGCAUGGAGUCUUCAGAGCAGAACCCAGCCGAGUCUCCCCUUCACCGGUAGGGUGGUCAAGCUGGAGGUCCUCAAAUCCCUCCGUUAUUUCGUCCACCGUCACCCUGGCAUAUCCUUAUGGAAUCAGACGACAAUGAAAAGUUGCGCUGGGUUCAGGAGGUCGAACAGAGCCGACAGCCGCCUUGACUUUGAAGUUCUGCCAUUGCGUCAUAAGGUGGCAAUGUUGAGACUCCGUGAUAGCAUCCACGGGGUAGCUAGCAGGAGCCGUCAAGACAUGAUCCGGCUAAAGCAGCUCGGUGGAAGCCAUGCUGCUUCUCCGCUGAGAUGGCGGGGUAGCUUCGGGGGUAGUUUAGGAAGGUCGCUUGCUGCGAGCUACUUCUCGUUCCUCCAGCGCUUGAACCCUUUCGUGCAGUGUCUGAAUUUGGGCCUGCUCCACUUUUUUCCUCCUCUCCUGGCAUUUGUAACCACCCGCGUCCGGAAAACCAGCCUUCCACGGAACGGAGCCUGGCGUGCCUCAUGUCCGUCCAGGAUGCUCAGGAUUCCCGAGGGCCAUUGUGAGCUCGUCGUUCUCUCUGUCUAUAACGAACGUCCCUUGCUGCGCUGCAUCGAUAUAGUGCUUAAGCCUCUUGACUGGUAUUCUCAUGUGCUCGUCCGUCGAAACGCACUUCCCUGAUACAGGGUCCAAGGUUCCGCCAGCCUCGAAGAACCAAGUCCGGCAACGGUCUGGCCAGUUCAUUGUAUCUGGUUCGAUCCCUUUAUCAAGCAGAUCAUUCUCAGCCUUGGCCCACUUAGGCCGGGCUUUGAGGUAGCCACCUGACCCCGUGCGAUGGUGAAGCUUUUUCUUCGCAGCAUUUUUCUUGUUUGUCGCCGACAUCUUCUUACUCUUUUCCGAUGUCUUGUGGGCCACAAAUGCGGGCCAGUGAUCUCUGAUCUUCUCAUAUUUGCCGAUGAAUUCUGGUGUCUCUUCUUUGUCGACAAACAUUUUCAGCUCAUUCUUCCACCUCCUGAAUAGGUCUGCCAUCUUCUUAAGAGCAUCAGACUUGAUUAAUUGCUCUUUAACUGGCUUCUCCGGAUCCUCCUCUAGCGGUAGGGUGAAAUUUGCCUUCAGCUCAGUCCAAAGAUCAUCUUUCUGCAUAUCAUUGACACAAGACACCUCAGGGUCUUCGUUCUAGGCUUAUACCAUUGGUGGAUGCUAAUUGGGAUCUUGUUCCUAACAAGAACCCCGCACUGAGCAGCAAAUGCUUCCUUUGUCCGGAUGGGUUCAAUCGGUUGGCCGUCGCGCGCGAUUGCUGUGAUCUCAAACCUUUCAUCCGAGCACAACUUUUUCUUCAGGCCUCAUCUCUUUACUGAAGUUGUGUUCGAUCCGGAGGGCUAGAAAAAAUAAGAAACACGAGAUUUAAUUAAUAUGUGUACAUACCAAAACAUUGAAUGCAUCAAUUAGCUAGUCAACAUAUGCUUAACUAAUAUAUUUACCUGGCCGGACUCUGUUCGGUCACCGGAGCCGUCACCACGGGCUCCUUCUUGCACCAGCAUUGGGUCACCGGAGCCAUCAUAAUCAUGUCUUUCCUCCUCCAUUAUUCGAUCACCGUAGCCUGCUUCUUCACCCUGUUCUUCCAGACCAUCAUUGUCGUUAAGAUACGACAAGACAUCACCUCCGUCUAAGAUUAUGUCCCCCAACACCUCUUCUGCUUCAUCGUCUCGUCCGUGCUCCAUUGUUUCUGCAAAUAUUACAACAUGGCAAUUAUUACACAAACAUGACAGCAUGUGGAUAUAUUAGUGGCAAACGUAGACCUAUCUUAUUCCGGGUUUGGGUGGCCUCAACAAUGCUUCAAGGAUAGGGGCGCGGCGGGAGGGGGUAGGAGACCGACAUCGUUUUUUUUCUAGGGUUUGGGUGUCCUCGAGAGUUUUGGUCGAGCGAGAGGGCCAGGGGGUGCUCCCGUGGUAUAAGUUAUCAUUGUCGAAGUUAUCCGAGAGGGGGUUAUAUCGACAACGACGACAUACAUACAUGGGAAAAUAAUGUUAUCGGGAAGGGGGGUAGGUCGACCCCCCCUCGUGUUGAAGUUAUCGGGACACGGGGUAUAUCGGCAAUGACAUAUCCGAUAAAAAAUAAGAAGACGAAGAAGAAAUAAAAAGAGGAGAAGAUUGAAGAAAAAAAGAAGAAAAAAAGAGGAGAAGAAGAAAGGAAUAGAGGAGAAGAAGAUCUCUUCUUCUCCUCUAUUCCUUUCUGUUGGGUUACGUAGUAAUUUCAAAAAAUUUCCUACGCUCACGCAAGAUCAUGUGAUGUAUAGAAACGAGAGGGGAGAGUGUUGUCUACGUACCCACGCAGACCGACUGCGGAAGCGUUGACGCAACAUAGAGGAAGUAGUCGUACGUCUUCACGAUCCAACCGAUCAAGCACCAAAACUACGGCACCUCCGAGUUCGAGCACACGUUCAGCUCGAUGACGAUCCCCGGACUCCGAUCUAGCAAAGUGUCGGGGAAGAGUUCCGUCAGCACGACGGCGUGGUGACGAUCUUGAUGCACUACAGCAGCAGGGCUUCGCCUAAACUCCGCUACAGUCUUAUCGAGGAAUAUGGUGGCUGGGGGCACCGCACACGGCUAAGGAAUAGAUCACGUGGAUCAACUUGUGUGUUUCUGGGGUGCCUCUGCCUCAGUAUAUAAAGGACUAGAGGGGGAAGGCUGGCCGGCCAUAGGAGGCGCGCCAGGAGAGUCCUACUCCCUCUGGGAGUAGGAUUCCCCCCCCCCCAAUCCUAGUUGGAAUAGGAUUCGCGGAGGGGGGAAAGAGAGAGAGGGGGCCGGCCACCUCUCCUAGUCCUAAUAGGACUAGGGGAAGGGGGGAGGCGCACAGCCACCUUGGGCUGCCCCUUUCUCCUUUCCACUAAAGCCCACUAAGGCCCAUAUAGCUCCCGGGGGUUCCGGUAAUCUCCCGGUACUUCGGUAAAAUCCCGAUUUCACCAGGAACACUUCCGAUAUCCAAACAUAGGCUUCCAAUAUAUCAAUCUUUAUGUCUCGACCAUUUCAAGACUCCUCGUCAUGUCCGUGAUCAUAUCCGGGACUCCGAACAACCUUCGGUACAUCAAAAUGCAUAAACUCAUAAUAUAACUAUCAUCGUAACCUUAAGCGUGUGGACCCUAUGGGUUCGAGAACAAUGUAGACAUGACCGAGACACGUCUCCGGUCAAUAACCAAUAGCGGGACCUGGAUGCCCAUAUUGGCUCCUACAUAUUCUACGAAGAUCUUUAUCGGUCAGACCGCAUAACAACAUACGUUGUUCCCUUUGUCAUCGGUAUGUUACUUGCCCGAGAUUCGAUCAUCGGUAUUCCAAUACCUAGUUCAAUCUCAUUACCGGCAAGUCUCUUUACUCGUUCCGUAAUACAUCAUCUCACAACUAACUCAUUAGUUGCAAUGCUUGCAAGGCUUAUGCGAUGUGCAUUACCGAGAGGGCCCAGAGAUACCUCUCCGACAAUCGGAGCGACAAAUCCUAAUCUCGAAAUACGCCAACCCAACAUCUACCUUUGGAGACACCUGUAAUGCUCCUUUAUAAUCACCCAGUUACGUUGUGAUGUUUGGUAGCACCCAAAGUGUUCUCCGGUAAACGGGAGUUGCAUAAUCUCAUAGUCAUAGGAACAUGUAUAAGUCAUGAAGAAAGCAAUACCAACAUACUAAACGAUCGGGUGCUAAGCUAAUGGAAUGGGUCAUGUCAAUCAGAUCAUUCAACUAAUGAUGUGACCUCGUUAAUCAAAUAACAACACUUUGUUCAUGGUUAGGAAACAUAACCAUCUUUGAUUAACGAGCUAGUCAAGUAGAGGCAUACUAGUGACACUAAGUUUGUCUAUGUAUUCACACAUGUAUUAUGUUUCCGGUUAAUACAAUUCUAGCAUGAAUAAUAAACAUUUAUCAUGAUAUAAGGAAAUAAAUAAUAACUUUAUUAUUGCCUCUAGGGCAUAUUUCCUUCACUUUCUUCUUCUCCUCUUCUUUUUCUUCUUUUUUCUUCUUCUUAUUUAUUUCUCCUCUUCUUCCUCUCCUCUUCUUCUCAUUUCUUCCUCUUCUUAUUUUCCUUUUUCCUCUCAUUCUUUUUCUUCUUUUUCCUUCUUAAUAUCACUUAGCAACUUUUGCAACGAUAGGAAAUGUUCAAAUAGAAAAUUUAGAAAAAAAGUAAAUGUUUUGCCUAAUGCAUUGCUCAUAUGAAUAUACAAACAUUUGCAUAUUCUACAAUAAUUAAUAUCACCAAAAAAAUCUAUGAACAGAAAAAAAUCCUAACUUUUCUAAAAAUCUAUCUUUUGCAUAUAUACACAGAGAACAUAUACAUACAUAUAUACAUUUUUUUGCAUACAUGAACAUACAUGAACGUACGGGGUCACCAAGGUAGAGUUCUGUAGAAGUGUGUAGUGUUCUUGAGACCAAGAAUAUCCGUCCCUGCAUAUUAUUGAGUCCCCUCCAAGCGUGCCUUUUCCAGUCAGUCUCCCCUCAUACCGUGAUUUAGGGAGACCUAUCUUCUUAAGGCCAGGAAUGAACUCAAAACAAAACCCAAUGACAUCCUCUGUUUGAUGGCCCAUGGAGAUGCUUCCUUCUGGCCUAGCGCGGUUACAGACAUAUUUCUUUAGGACUCCCAUGAACCUCUCAGAGGGGAACAUAUUGUGUAGAAACACGGGCCCCAGAAUGACAAUCUCGUCGACUAGAUGAACUAGGACGUGUGUCAUGAUAUUGAAGAAGGAUGGUGGGAACACCAGCUCGAAACUGAUAAGAUAUUGCACCACAUCACUCCUUAGCCUUGGUACGAUUUCUGGAUCGAUCACCUUCUAAGAGAUUGCAUUGAGGAAUGCUCAUAGCUUCACAAUGGCUAAUCAGACGUUUUCCGAUAGAAGCCCCCUCAAUGCAACCGGAAGUAGUUGCGUCAUAAUCACGUGGCAGUCAUGAGACUUUAGGUUCUGGAACUUUUUCUCUGGCAUAUUUAUUAUUCCCUUUAUAUUCGACGAGAAGCCAGUCGGGACCUUCAUACUGAGCAGGCAUUCAAAGAAGAUUUCUUUCUCUUCUUUCGUAAGAGCGUAGCUGGCAGGACCUUCAUACUGCUUCGGAGGCAUGCCGUCUUUUUCGUGCAAACGUUGCAGGUCCUCCCGUGUCUCAGGUGUAUCUUUUGUCUUCCCAUACACGCCCAAGAAGCGUAGAAGGUUCAUGCAAAGGUUCUUCGUCACGUGCAUCAUGUCGAUUGAAGAGCAGACCUCUCGGUCUUUCCAGUAGGGUAGGUACCAAAAUAUAGAUUUCUUCUUCCACAUGGGUGCGUGUUCCUCAGCGUCAUUCGGAACAGCUAGUCCGCCGGGACCCUUUCCAAAGAUUACGUGUAAAUCAUUGACCAUAGCAAGUACGUGAUCACCGAUACACAUGGCGGGCUUCUUCCGGUGAUCUGCCUCGCCUUUGAAAUGCUUGCCUUUCUUUCGACAUUGAUGGUUGGUCAGAAGAAAUCGACGAUGGCCCAGGUACACAUUCUUCCUGCAUUUGUCUAGGUAUAUACUUUCAGUUUCAUCUAAACAGUGCGUGCAUGCGUGGUAUCCCUUGUUUGUCUGUCCUGAAAGGUUACUGAGAGUGGGCCAAUCAUUAAUGGUUACAAACAGCAACGCGUGCAGGUUAAAUUCCUCCUGUUUGUGCUCAUCCCACGUACGUACACCGUUUCCAUUCCACAGCUAUAAAAGUUCUUCAACUAAUGGCCUUAGGUACACAUCAAUGUCGUUGCCGGGUUGCUUAGGGCCUUGGAUGAGAACUGGCAUCAUAAUGAACUUCCGCUUCAUGCACAUCCAAGAAGGAAGGUUAUACAUACAUAGAGUCAUGGGCUAGGUGCUGUGAUUGCUGCUCUGCUCCCCGAAAGGAUUAAUACCAUCCACGCUUAAACCAAACCAUACGUUCCUUGGGUCACUGUGACGCCCCCGAUUCAAUCGUACACUAAUCAUGCACGCAAAUGUGUACGAUCAAGAUCAGGGACUCACGGGAAGAUAUCACAACACAACUCUACAAAUAAAAUAAGUCAUACAAGCAUCAUAAUACAAGCCAGGGGCCUCGAGGGCUCGAAUACAAGUGCUCGAUCAUAGACGAGUCAGCGGAAGCAACAAUAUCUGAGUACAGACAUAAGUUAAACAAGUUGCCUUAAGAAGGCCAGCACAAACUGGGAUACAGAACGAAAGAGGCGCAGGCCUCCUGCCUGGGAUCCUCCUAACUAUUCCAGGUCGUCGUCAGCGGCCUGCACGUAGUAGUAGGCACCUCCAGUGUAGUAGGAAUCAUCGUCGACGGUGGCGUCUGGCUCCAGGGCUCCAGCAUCUGGUUGCGACAACCAGGUAGAAGGGAAAGGGGAAAAGAGGGAGAAAAGCAACCGUGAGUACUCAUCCAAAGUACUCGCAAGCAAGGAACUACACUACAUAUGCAUGGGUAUAUGUGUAAGGAGGCCAUAUCAGUGGACUGAACUGCAGAAUGCCAGAAUAAGAGGGGGAUAGCUAAUCCUGUCGAAGACUACGCUUCUGGCAGCCUCCGUCUUGCAGCAUAUAGAAGAGAAUAGAUUGUAGUCCUCCAAGUAGCAUCCUCAAGUAGCAUCUCCAAGUAGCAUCUCAUAGUAUAAUCCUACCCGGCGAUCCUCUCCUCGUUGCCCUGCGGAAAAGCGAUCACCGGGUUGUCUGUGGAACUUGGAAGGGUGUGUUUUAUUAAGUAUCCGGUUCUAGUUGUCAUAAGGUCAAGGUACAACUCCAAGUCGUCCUGUUACCGAAGAUCACGGCUAUUCGAAUAGAUUAACUUCCCUGCAGGGGUGCACCACAUAGCCCAACACGCUCGAUCCCAUUUGGCCGGACACACUUUCCUGGGUCAUGCCCGGCCUCGGAAGAUCAACACGUCGCAGCCCCACCUAGGCACAACAGAGAGGCCAGCACGCCGGUCUAAACCUAAGCGCACAGGGGUCUGGGCCCAUCGCCCAUAGCACACCUGCACGUUGCGUGGGCGGCCGGAAGCAGAACUAGCCCCCUUAAUACAAGAGCAGGCUUACGUUCCAAUCCAGCGCGCGCCGCUCCGUCGCUGACGUCUGAAGUGCUUCGGCUGAUACCACGACGUCGGGAUACCCAUAACUACUCCCACGUAGAUGGUUAGUGCGUAUAGGCUCGUAGCCAGACUCAGAUCAAAUACCAAGAUCUCGUUAAGCGUGUUAAGUAUCCGCGAACGCCGAACAGGGCCAGGCCCACCUGUCUCCUAGGUGGUCUCAACCUGCCCUGUCGCUCCGCCACAAAGUAACAGUCGAGGGCCGUCGGGAACCCAGGCCCACCUCUACCGGGAUGGAACCACCUGCCCCUUCAGCCCCCAACUCCGAACAGUAUCACAGGUAAUGUAACAGUGUAAAGUAUAUAGUAUAUGCCCGUGAUCACCUCCCGAAGUGAUCACAGCCCAGUAGUAUAGCAUGGCAGACUGACAAGAAUGUAGGGCCAAUGAUGAUAAACUAGCAUCCUAUACUAAGCAUUUAGGAUUGCAGGUAAGGUAUCAACAGAUGUAGCGACAAUGUCAGGCUAUGCAUCAGAAUAGGAUUAACGAAAGCAGUAACAUGCUACACUACUCUAAUGCAAGCAGUAUAGAGGAGAAUAGGCGAUAUCUGGUGAUCAAGGGGGGGGGGCUUGCCUGGUUGCUCAGACAAGGAGGGGUCGUCGGUGACGUAGUCGUACUCGGUGGCAUCAGCGUCGGUCUCGUAGUCUACCGGAGAGAAGAGGGGGAAGAAAUAAUGAAUACAGAGCAAACAAAGCAUCACAAAAUAUAACAAGGCAAUACGCGGUGUUCGGUGUGCCCUAACACGGUAGUAGGUGAUACCGGUGAAGGGGGGAAAACCCCCGGGAAAGUAUUCCCGGUGUUUCGUGUUUUCGGGCAGAGGAGCCGGAGGGGGAAAGUUGCGGGUUCGAUAGGUUAGGGGUGUGUGGCGGACGAACGGACCGCGUAUCCGGAUUCGUCUCGUCGUUCUGAACAACUUUCAUGUUGAAAACAUUUUAAUCCGAGUUACGGAUUAAAAGAUAUGAUUUUCUAAAGAUUUUAUUAAUUUCUGAAAUUUAAUUAUUUAUUUAAUUAAUUCGAAAAAAUGUAUUAAUGACGUCAGCAUGAUGUCAUGCUGACGUCAGCAGUCAACAGGGGUUGGCUGAGUCAACCCUGACAUGUGGGUCCCGUUCGUCAUUGACUGUUUAGUCAAAUUAAUGUUUAGCUAAUCUAAUCACUGUUUAAUUAAACUAAUUAGUUAAUUAGGUUAAUCUAAUUAUGAUUAAUUAACUUAAUUAAUUCCUUAAUUAAUUAAUUAGUUUAAUUAUUAUUUAUUUAUUUAAUAUCUUUUUUUAAUUCUUUUUUUUUCUUUUUCUUUUUUUUUAUAAAACCGCUCUGGGGCUGGGGUGUGGGACCCCACAUGUCAUAGGCCUAAGUGCCUUAGCGGGCGCACGGUUACGGGCGCCGGGUGGGUCGGGCGACGAGCGCCAGCCCGACGAGGCGCCGCGGGGCAGCGGGCGUGCGGCCUGGCUCCGACGACCGGAGCAGGGCGGCGCGGUUGGCUGAGAGGAUCGCCGCAGCGGACGGCUGACGUAGCGGGAGUGGGAUGAGGCGUCGGANNNNNNNNNNNNNNNNNNNNNNNNNNNNNNNNNNNNNNNNNNNNNNNNNNNNNNNNNNNNNNNNNNNNNNNNNNNNNNNNNNNNNNNNNNNNNNNNNNNNNNNNNNNNNNNNNNNNNNNNNNNNNNNNNNNNNNNNNNNNNNNNNNNNNNNNNNNNNNNNNNNNNNNNNNNNNNNNNNNNNNNNNNNNNNNNNNNNNNNNNNNNNNNNNNNNNNNNNNNNNNNNNNNNNNNNNNNNNNNNNNNNNNNNNNNNNNNNNNNNNNNNNNNNNNNNNNNNNNNNNNNNNNNNNNNNNNNNNNNNNNNNNNNNNNNNNNNNNNNNNNNNNNNNNNNNNNNNNNNNNNNNNNNNNNNNNNNNNNNNNNNNNNNNNNNNNNNNNNNNNNNNNNNNNNNNNNNNNNNNNNNNNNNNNNNNNNNNNNNNNNNNNNNNNNNNNNNNNNNNNNNNNNNNNNNNNNNNNNNNNNNNNNNNNNNNNNNNNNNNNNNNNNNNNNNNNNNNNNNNNNNNNNNNNNNNNNNNNNNNNNNNNNNNNNNNNNNNNNNNNUUUCUCUCCUCGCCCCUUUUUUUUGUUUCAUUUCAUUUCUGUUUUUAUUUAUUCGUUCCUGUUUUAUCUUAGUUACAUUUUAUUCUAGUUUUAGUAAAAUAUACACUUAGCAUCUAAAUUAGUAUCUCAACUUAAGUCCAUAGUCACAAAAGUCUAGUCCCCAAAUAGCUUAGUUUGAAAUUUUAUUAACUAUAAAAGGUAUUUAAAUAUUCGUUUUUGCUACUGUUUUAAUUAAUAUAGUGCACUUAAAUACUUUACAGAAGUGUGGUUCCUUCAGCAAUAUUUAGUAUGGAAUAUUUGCCACAACCCGAACAUUUUUGUUUUAUUGUUUUGAAAACUUUUGUUGUGUGUUUUUAUUUUAAAUUUUGAACUGGGUCUCAUACUGACGCGAGUUUAUCAACAGUAACCGAGGGGACGUGGCAUCAUUAGCGAUGGUUCACUGUAGCUUAACUAUCCGGGCGUCACAAUUCUCCUCCACUACAAGAAAUCUCGUCCCGAGAUUUAAGAGGGGUCUAAGGGGGAAACAUUUGGUUACGAAAUUCUAACAAAGCUUCUCGGUCUUGGUUGCUCCUCUCAAAGUGGUCGAUCCAUUAUAUUGAUGUCUUCAUUUUUCUGCUUCAGGUCAUCAAGAUGAAGUCGAUAUCCUUUCUUUGGGGGUUCCAUCGUACUUACGAAAGAAUAAGGGGGUGGGCAUACAGGGAGAACGAACCUCUGCAAGGUUAACUAUCUGGUCGAUAAUAUCGGGGAAGGUGGCGGAAAGUAACCCUCGAAUUGAAACUUAACGAAUUAUCAAGAGCAAAGUAAGAAAGUACCACGAGAAGUUCCAAGCGGGUAGGUAAUCGUUCGAUGCCUGUUACAAGGCGUGAAAGGGGUUCAGAGCAACGGGAAUAAGCAUUGCGUCUGAUACCAGAAUAGAUCACUAGGAAGGUGGCUCGUGAUCUUUCAUACGAAGCCAAGCGUGCGGGUUAGCUUUAGGAACAGGGGUGCAGGAGAUUCAGGUUUUGAUCCUGUGGAACUGUGGGUUAUGGGCCCACCAUGUGGGUUAAACGUUGAGAGAGCGGUGACAUCUUGCACGGUUAUGACAGCAAGGCAUGCCAGAGAAUAACCUGUCAGUUAUGUCGGUAACAACGUCGAUACCAAGGGCGAGGGACGAAGAGAACCAUUUUCCUGCUCGUUGAACGAGGCGGACCAAUAGGCAAAGUUCUCGUCCAUCGGCGGCUACCGGAAUGUCAUCAACAAUAGUAUCAGGGUUACACCAGACAAGAUGGUACACCGAGGUGUUUACUUGAGCAGGGAUAUUACUGCUUAUAUUAUAUAGAUCACAAUAAGGUUUAAACAAACCAAUGGAAGGAAAAUAUGAUCAUCAGAUUAAACAGAACAAUGGAAAGGAAAAUAUGUUUAAACACAUAUUUCGAGGGUAUAUCCUUCCCAAGGACAAGCAAAGCAAGAUAUCCAUGACAGGAUAUAAAGUAGAAAACCAUUUAGGAAAGGGGGGAGGAAUCUCAUGAUAUUACUCAUACAACGGUGUUAGGAUAAUUGAUAAUUAAAAUAUAGCAUCGUGCUUCAAACGUGCCUGUUGAAAAUCGGAGUACCAUUGACAUGCUUCGAGAUAGCAGUGACAUGGUCUUCAGGUGAAGAUCNNNNNNNNNNNNNNNNNNNNNNNNNNNNNNNNNNNNNNNNNNNNNNNNNNNNNNNNNNNNNNNNNNNNNNNNNNNNNNNNNNNNNNNNNNNNNNNNNNNNNNNNNNNNNNNNNNNNNNNNNNNNNNNNNNNNNNNNNNNNNNNNNNNNNNNNNNNNNNNNNNNNNNNNNNNNNNNNNNNNNNNNNNNNNNNNNNNNNNNNNNNNNNNNNNNNNNNNNNNNNNNNNNNNNNNNNNNNNNNNNNNNNNNNNNNNNNNNNNNNNNNNNNNNNNNNNNNNNNNNNNNNNNNNNNNNNNNNNNNNNNNNNNNNNNNNNNNNNNNNNNNNNNNNNNNNNNNNNNNNNNNNNNNNNNNNNNNNNNNNNNNNNNNNNNNNNNNNNNNNNNNNNNNNNNNNNNNNNNNNNNNNNNNNNNNNNNNNNNNNNNNNNNNNNNNNNNNNNNNNNNNNNNNNNNNNNNNNNNNNNNNNNNNNNNNNNNNNNNNNNNNNNNNNNNNNNNNNNNNNNNNNNNNNNNNNNNNNNNNNNNNGAAUAAGUCUUACAAUUUCCUCAUGGAUGAAUGGAUAACCUUGCUGAAAAGGAAUCUAUAAUGAUAGGUCCUCCAGCCGGGGGGGGGGGUGCUAGGCAUGACAUCAUGUUACCGGGUCAUCAAAGGAUCAACGUCAUAACUCUUGGAAAGUUGUCCCAACCAUCAUACCUGACCGAGAUUCAGAUCCGAUUGGUGUCAGGAUACCUGAGACUCAGGAUGUCCGAGAAGAAAAGGCGCAACACAAAUCGUUGAAAUGGCAUUGCAAGCUUCUCAGGAAAUGAACUAUGGGAGCGGGUUUCUAAAGCAAUAGUUCACCAUUAAACCAAGGAGAGGACAAGGAGGCGUCUGGUGAACUCAACGGCAAUUCACCGAUAUUCCCAAAAGAUGGAUUUCCACCAUUAGGUGAACAAGGAGAUAACAUUGUCAGAUCAAAAGAUAUAAGGAAGUAUGCUCGAGGAAAACAUACACAAUUAAACAUUGGUUGAAAGGUGCGCCCGAAAUGUGGAUUGGGUUGCACGACCAAUGUCAGAAUGGUGAUUUAAUUAGCGAAGGACUUAGAAUGAACUAUCGAUCAUUAACUUCAAAGCAAUAGGGUUGCUAGAAGUGCAUAAUCCAAACAACACCGUUCACUUGUGGGUACCCCGGUUGGAAUCAACACGAGGACCAAGAAAGAAUGGUGAUGGUGAGAAGUAUCAUUAUAGCAAGAAUUCUUAAGAGGUGGAGCAAUCCUCACAACAUUCUUAACAUGAAAGAUGGUAAUACUCGGCGGUAGAAUAUAACAUAAGUUGGAUAGCAAGGAACUCAAGGUAUAACAACAAACAUGAACAAGCUUGUGUUGGUGGGAAGGCAAUAAAGUGGUCGAUGAUAAUACAAUUCAUCGAGGCAAGGAUGGUAUUUCUUAUCAUGAAUACAAUUGAUAUCCUGGAUGAGCUCAGAAUGUUGACGAUCACGACACCUUUGUCGCGAGAGUUCAUGAAGAUGUAAUCGAUCGGCGACGACAUCAAGUCAAAGUAAUGAUGAAGUGAAAGGUUAUUGGAACCAAGGGUAUGACACAAACUCGAAACCAAGCUGGUUGUUUAAGGUGAAAGGGUAUGACGAGGAAAAUCGACGUAAGCUUAGCUAUCGUCGCAAAUUGGUGCUCCGAGAAUAAGGACCAGGUAGCACAGGUAGAAUCGUCACGACAAUGAUAUAGCCAAACAGGCUAGGAAUGGCGUGAUCGGGUACAAACUCGUACUUAUAGAAGCUUACUGAAGAGUUGUUGAACCGAAGAGCGGACUUAGUUCAGUUAUCGGUGUCUUUGAGUGUUCAAUAACUCAGAGCCCGCGAAAAAUUGGAAUCGGUGGGAAGGUAGCACUUGAUGAAGAACUCAUAAAAAGUUAUGCAGUUCCAUGAUAAUCUCGAGAUACCAGGGGGGUAAUACUCAACACAAGAUCAAAGUAAAGGUUGGACUGGUCUAUUGAUCCAUAGAAGACAAUUGUUUUAACUUGUCCGAGAAAUGAGAUCAAAGAAGAACAAUCAUGGUCGGAACCACGGUUGCAAAAAGGCCAGAUCUCAGAUAUAAGAUGAACUUAUACCAAGGGAAUAAUUGAUUUUAAAAGAAGCUUCGAUGAGAAGAUGUACAUCGUGUCCAUGGGCAUGAACGCAAAGUUCAAGGUCGACUCCCACUUCUCCAAUGCAUAACCUUUCAUUCACUUCUCACAUUCGAUGAAGUUGCAGUGUUGAAAUUUUAUCUGGUGAAGCACCAGAAGAGUAUGACUCGUGAAAACUUUCGGGUUCACACGGUUUAGAGAAGGCAUAUGUUCAACCCAUAGGGGCUUCUUAGAAACAUAUACCACAAGUUUCAAGAGUAAAUAACACAAGCCCGAAAGCAGAGCAUGGUUGGCCAAGCAGAGGAUACAACUUAACAAGGGCAUUAUGUAUCAGGGGAAGAACUCACAAGGUGAUCAAAUGUGAAGGACACUAUCGGAUAACAAUCCAACAAAGGACUUGAUGGUCCACAAAGGAUCUGAUACGAGUAUCGGUACUCAACUAGAGGAAGAAGAAUGCAAGGAGAUCAGAUUAUAGAAACAACUGACUAACUCAAUUGUCAAAUGCAAAGGAAUUUUGAUUUCCAAUUCAAGGGAUCAGAAGCAAUGCUCUGAUUAGGGAUGGAUAAGUUGAAUAACCUUACGGUACAAUCAAUGACAAUUGGAUUGGUCGAGAACCAAUUCCAGUUAAAAGAAUGGCAGCUUAGCCGGAGAAGUAAUUUAUAAGGAUCAAUGAUGAUUGCGUGCAUUCGCAAACAUAUUGAGUCAGCAGACUCAAAAUGAUAAUGACAAGGAAUGUCAUUAAGACUACGAGACUUAUGGGAUUAACCAUAAUGCGAGCAAGCAAGAAUUUCAAGAGCCAAAGGCUCCAGAGGAUUUUCGGAAGAUCGAAUAGUAUUUUGAAGACUUUUGUGAAACUCAUGAACAACUGGGGAUGAGCGGAUACUCGGCAAGCGCGAGUAAUUAUCCGUAGGGGUAUUCAUGCAGCAAGGAACUGCAGGGCAGUAAGUGCAAAGUAUUUUCGGAACAGUAAAGAAACUUCGGGGUAUCUUGUAAUAACAAGAUCAAUGGGGGAUGAUCGUAUGAAUGGCAAGUGUAAGUAGUUAUCCAUACGGAUUUAUCGGUGGUCAGGAAUAGCAAAAGUGAUGGGCACAAAGUCUCGAGAGCACAUCGUAGAGUAUCUUCGGAAUCUUCUGGUGCAGCAGGCGGUCAUCGGUAACAAGUGGCUCUCCGGGAGAAAGUACUUGCGAGAACCUAAAGUUAGUUUUGUUUUUUAGCAAAAAUCGUUUAACCCGAAUAGAAGAGGGUUCAGAAUCCCAGAGUAAAGGUCGAGGAAUAAAAGAUCCUAAUACCUCCCGAUGGCGACGUGGGCCCAUGGGCCACACAGCCAUGUUAGUAAAAGUUUUUCAACGACUAGACUCGACUUCGGCCAAGGAGUGUGGAAGGGGAUUUCCUACAGGCAGUCGGCUCUGAUACCAACUUGUGACGCCCCCGAUUCAAUCGUACACUAACCAUGCACGCAAAUAUGUACGAUCAAGAUCAGGGACUCACGGGAAGAUAUCACAACACAACUCUACAAAUAAAAUAAGUCAUACAAGCAUCAUAAUACAAGCCAGGGGCCUCGAGGGCUCGAAUACAAGUGCUCGAUCAUAGACGAGUCAGCGGAAGCAACAAUAUCUGAGUACAGACAUAAGUUAAACAAGUUGCCUUAAGAAGGCCAGCACAAACUGGGAUACAGAACGAAAGAGGCGCAGGCCUCCUGCCUGGGAUCCUCCUAACUACUCCAGGUCGUCGUCAGCGGCCUGCACGUAGUAGUAGGCACCUCCAGUGUAGUAGGAAUCAUCGUCGAUGGUGGCGUCUGGCUCCAGGGCUCCAGCAUCUGGUUGCGACAACCAGGUAGAAGGGAAAGGGGAAAAGAGGGAGAAAAGCAACCGUGAGUACUCAUCCAAAGUACUCGCAAGCAAGGAACUACACUACAUAUGCAUGGGUAUAUGUGUAAGGAGGCCAUAUCAGUGGACUGAACUGCAGAAUGCCAGAAUAAGAGGGGGAUAGCUAAUCCUGUCGAAGACUACGCUUCUGGCAGCCUCCGUCUUGCAGCAUAUAGAAGAGAAUAGAUUGUAGUCCUCCAAGUAGCAUCCUCAAGUAGCAUCUCCAAGUAGCAUCUCAUAGUAUAAUCCUACCCGGCGAUCCUCUCCUCGUCGCCCUGCGGAAAAGCGAUCACCGGGUUGUCUGUGGAACUUGGAAGGGUGUGUUUUAUUAAGUAUCCGGUUCUAGUUGUCAUAAGGUCAAGGUACAACUCCAAGUCGUCCUGUUACCGAAGAUCACGGCUAUUCGAAUAGAUUAACUUCCCUGCAGGGGUGCACCACAUAGCCCAACACGCUCGAUCCCAUUUGGCCGGACACACUUUCCUGGGUCAUGCCCGGCCUCGGAAGAUCAACACGUCGCAGCCCCACCUAGGCACAACAGAGAGGCCAGCACGCCGGUCUAAACCUAAGCGCACAGGGGUCUGGGCCCAUCGCCCAUAGCACACCUGCACGUUGCGUGGGCGGCCGGAAGCAGAACUAGCCCCCUUAAUACAAGAGCAGGCUUACGUUCCAAUCCAGCGCGCGCCGCUCCGUCGCUGACGUCUGAAGUGCUUCGGCUGAUACCACGACGUCGGGAUACCCAUAACUACUCCCACGUAGAUGGUUAGUGCGUAUAGGCUCGUAGCCAGACUCAGAUCAAAUACCAAGAUCUCGUUAAGCGUGUUAAGUAUCCGCGAACGCCGAACAGGGCCAGGCCCACCUGUCUCCUAGGUGGUCUCAACCUGCCCUGUCGCUCCGCCACAAAGUAACAGUCGAGGGCCGUCGGGAACCCAGGCCCACCUCUACCGGGAUGGAGCCACCUGUCCUUUCAGCCCCCUCGUCAGAAUCACUUGCGGGUACUCAAUGAGCUGACCCGACUUUAGUCACCAUCUGUAUAGUAUGUAUGUAUGUAUAGUAUAUACCCGUGAUCACCUCCCAAGUGAUCACGGCCCGAUAGUAUAGCAUGGCAGACUGACAAGAAUGUAGGGCCAAUGAUGAUAAACUAGCAUCCUAUACUAAGCAUUUAGGAUUGCAGGUAAGGUAUCAACAGAUGUAGCGACAAUGUCAGGCUAUGCAUCAGAAUAGGAUUAACGAAAGCAGUAACAUGCUACACUACUCUAAUGCAAGCAGUAUAGAGGAGAAUAGGCGAUAUCUGGUGAUCAAGGGGGGGGGGCUUGCCUGGUUGCUCAGACAAGGAGGGGUCGUCGGUGACGUAGUCGUACUCGGUGGCAUCAGCGUCGGUCUCGUAGUCUACCGGAGAGAAGAGGGGGAAGAAAUAAUGAAUACAGAGCAAACAAAGCAUCACAAAAUAUAACAAGGCAAUACGCGGUGUUCGGUGUGCCCUAACACGGUAGUAGGUGAUACCGGUGAAGGGGGGAAAACCCCCGGGAAAGUAUUCCCGGUGUUUCGUGUUUUCGGGCAAAGGAGCCGGAGGGGGAAAGUUGCGGGUUCGAUAGGUUAGGGGUGUGUGGCGGACGAACGGACCGCGUAUCCGGAUUCGUCUCGUCGUUCUGAACAACUUUCAUGUUGAAAACAUUUUAAUCCGAGUUACGGAUUAAAAGAUAUGAUUUUCUAAAGAUUUUAUUAAUUUCUGAAAUUUAAUUAUUUAUUUAAUUAAUUCGAAAAAAUGUAUCAAAGACGUCAGCAUGAUGUCAUGCUGACGUCAGCAGUCAACAGGGGUUGGCUGAGUCAACCCUGACAUGUGGGUCCCGUUCAUCAUUGACUGUUUAGUCAAAUUAAUGUUUAGCUAAUCUAAUCACUGUUUAAUUAAACUAAUUAGUUAAUUAGGUUAAUCUAAUUAUGAUUAAUUAACUUAAUUAAUUCCUUAAUUAAUUAAUUAGUUUAAUUAUUAUUUAUUUAUUUAAUAUCUUUUUUUUUAAUUCUUUUUUUUUCUUUUUCUUUUUUUUUAUAAAACCGCUCUGGGGCUGGGGUGUGGGACCCCACAUGUCAUAGGCCUAAGUGCCUUAGCGGGCGCACGGUUACGGGCGCCGGGUGGGUCGGGCGACGAGCGCCAGCCCGACGAGGCGCCGCGGGGCAGCGGGCGUGCGGCCUGGCUCCGACGACCGGAGCAGGGCGGCGCGGUUGGCUGAGAGGAUCGCCGCAGCGGACGGCUGACGUAGCGGGAGUGGGAUGAGGCGUCGGACGACGACGGCGCCCCGGGCAGACGCGGCCAGGAGCCGCAGGGCAGAGACGGCGGUGGGAGUCGGCAGCAGGGGCGACGGGCGUCGUGGCUACGGCUGGAUGGCGCGGGUCACGCGCGCGGGGGCGCNNNNNNNNNNNNNNNNNNNNNNNNNNNNNNNNNNNNNNNNNNNNNNNNNNNNNNNNNNNNNNNNNNNNNNNNNNNNNNNNNNNNNNNNNNNNNNNNNNNNNNNNNNNNNNNNNNNNNNNNNNNNNNNNNNNNNNNNNNNNNNNNNNNNNNNNNNNNNNNNNNNNNNNNNNNNNNNNNNNNNNNNNNNNNNNNNNNNNNNNNNNNNNNNNNNNNNNNNNNNNNNNNNNNNNNNNNNNNNNNNNNNNNNNNNNNNNNNNNNNNNNNNNNNNNNNNNNNNNNNNNNNNNNNNNNNNNNNNNNNNNNNNNNNNNNNNNNNNNNNNNNNNNNNNNNNNNNNNNNNNNNNNNNNNNNNNNNNNNNNNNNNNNNNNNNNNNNNNNNNNNNNNNNNNNNNNNNNNNNNNNNNNNNNNNNNNNNNNNNNNNNNNNNNNNNNNNNNNNNNNNNNNNNNNNNNNNNNNNNNNNNNNNNNNNNNNNNNNNNNNNNNNNNNNNNNNNNNNNNNNNNNNNNNNNNNNNNNNNNNNNNNNNNNNNNNNNNNNNNNNNNNNNNNNNNNNNNNNNNNNNNNNNNNNNNNNNNNNNNNNNNNNNNNNNNNNNNNNNNNNNNNNNNNNNNNNNNNNNNNNNNNNNNNNNNNNNNNNNNNNNNNNNNNNNNNNNNNNNNNNNNNNNNNNNNNNNNNNNNNNNNNNNNNNNNNNNNNNNNNNNNNNNNNNNNNNNNNNNNNNNNNNNNNNNNNNNNNNNNNNNNNNNNNNNNNNNNNNNNNNNNNNNNNNNNNNNNNNNNNNNNNNNNNNNNNNNNNNNNNNNNNUUUCUCUCCUCGCCCCUUUUUUUUGUUUCAUUUCAUUUCUGUUUUUAUUUAUUCGUUCCUGUUUUAUCUUAGUUACAUUUUAUUCUAGUUUUAGUAAAAUAUACACUUAGCAUCUAAAUUAGUAUCUCAACUUAAGUCCAUAGUCACAAAAGUCUAGUCCCCAAAUAGCUUAGUUUGAAAUUUUAUUAACUAUAAAAGGUAUUUAAAUAUUCGUUUUUGCUACUGUUUUAAUUAAUAUAGUGCACUUAAAUACUUUACAGAAGUGUGGUUCCUUCAGCAAUAUUUAGUAUGGAAUAUUUGCCACAACCCGAACAUUUUUGUUUUAUUGUUUUGAAAACUUUUGUUGUGUGUUUUUAUUUUAAAUUUUGAACUGGGUCUCAUACUGACGCGAGUUUAUCAACAGUAACCGAGGGGACGUGGCAUCAUUAGCGAUGGUUCACUGUAGCUUAACUAUCCGGGCGUCACAGUCACUUGCAAACUCAGGCCAGUACUUUCUCUCUAUUUUUCUCCACUUCGACCCGUCAGCGGGUGCUCUCAACUUCCCGUCUUUCUUACGGUCCUCACUGUGCCAUCGCAUCAACUUGGCAUGCUCUUCGUUUCUGAACAGAUGUUUCAACCGCGAUAUUAUAGGAGAAUACCACAUCACCUUCGCAGGAACCCUCUUCCUGGGGGGCUCGCUGUCAACAUCACCAGGGUCAUCUCGUCUGAUCUUAUACCGCAAUGCACCGCAUACCGGGCACGCGUUCAGAUACUUGUACGCACCGCGGUAGAAGAUGCAGUCAUUAGGGCAUGCAUGUAUCUUCUGCACCUCCAAUCCUAGAGGGCAUACAACCUUCUUUGCUGCGUAUGUACUAUCGGGCAAUUCGUUAUCCUUUGGAAGCUUCUUCUUCAAUAUUUUCAGUAGCUUCUCAAAUCCUUUGUCAGGCACAGCAUUCUCGGCCUUCCACUGCAACAAUUCCAGUACGGUACCGAGCUUUGUGUUGCCAUCUUCGCAAUUGGGGUACAGCCCUUUUUUGUGAUCCUCUAACAUGCGAUCGAACUUCAGCUUCUCCUUUUGACUUUCGCAUUGCGUCCUUGCAUCGACAAUGACCCGGCGGAGAUCAUCAUCAUCGGGCACAUCGUCUGGUUCCUCAUGAUCUUCAGCAGCUUCCCCCGUUGCAGCAUCAUUGGGCACAUCGUCUGGUUCCUCUUGAUCUUCAGCAGCUUCCCCCGUUGCAGCAUCACCGUAUUCAGGGGGCACAUAGUUGUCAUCAUCCUCUUCUUCGCCGUCUUCCAUCAUAACCCCUAUUUCUCCGUGCCUCGUCCAAACAUUAUAGUGUGGCAUGAAACCAUUGUAAAGCAGGUGGGUGUGAAGGAUUUUCCGGUCAGAGUAAGACUUCGUAUUCCCACAUUUAGGGCAUGGACAACACAUAAAACCAUUCUGCUUGUUUACCUCAGCCACUUCGAGAAAAUCAUGCACGCCCUUAAUGUACUUGGAGGUGUGUCUGUCACCGUACAUCCAUUGCCAGUUCAUCUGCGUGCAUUAUAUAUAAUUAAGUGUGUCAAAAACCAUUAUAGAACAUCAUGAAUAGAUAAUUAAGUGACCAAAUUAAUAGAAGUUUAUCGUCACAUUAAAACCAAAGUACAUACAUAGUUCUCAUCUAACAACAUAUAGCUCUCCAGAGCAUCUAAUUAAUUAAACCAUACAUUAAAACUAUGUAAAACAUUUCAAUGCGAAAACAAAUGCGAUCAUAAUCGCAACCAAGGUAACAAUUGAUCCAACAGCAUAAUGAUACCAAGCCUCGGUAUGAAUGGCAUAUUUUCUAAUCUUUCUAAUCUUCAAUCACAUUGCAUCCAUCUUGAUCUUGUGAUCAUCGACGACAUCCGCAACAUGCAACUCCAAUAUCAUCUUCUCCUCCUCAAUUUGUUUCCUUCAAGUAAUUGUUUUCUUCUUCAACUAAAUUUAACCUCUCGACAAUAGGGUUGGUUGGAAUUUCCGGUUCAACUACCUCCUACAUAAAUAAAAUCUAUGUCACGUUGGUCGGCAUAAUUGUCAUAAACAAUAAAUGAACCAAAUAGUUAUAAAAAGAUAAUAUAUAUACCACAUCCGAAUCAUAGACAGGACGAGGGCCGACAGGGGCGGAUACCAAAACCAUCGCAUUAUAUAUUAACAAGCAAUAAAAUAGUAAGAAAAUUAGACAAGUAUCUAACUAAAGUAAGAAUUUUUUCUUUCAGAAAGAAGAUAAGAACAAGAGGCUCACCACGGUGGUGCCGGUGACGAGAUCGGCGCGGGCGAUCGACGGCGGUGAAGACGGGAAUGGGACAUGACGGGCCGCUAAACCUAGACAAAUCUCGAGGAAAAUGGAGCUUUGAGGUCGAGCUUCGAGAGGAGAAGGCUUAACUAGUGUGGCUCGGGCAUUUCAUCGAACACCUCAUGUGCAUAGGAGGUGAGCUAGAGCACCACAAAGCCCCCCCCUCGCCGGCCAGAGAAAAAUAGAGCACUGGAGUGCUCUGCUCGCGGGCGAGGGGUGUAUAUAGGCACCUCAUUGGUCCCGGUUCGUGACAUGAACCGGGACUAAAGGGUAGCCUGUGGUCCCGGUUCAAGCCACCAACCGGGACCAAUGGUGGUGGGCCAGGAGCGAGGCCCAUUGGUCCCGGUUCGUCCCACCAAUCGGGAUCAAAGGGGCCAGGCGAACCAGGACCAAUGCCCCCACGAGGCCCGGCAGGCCCCUGGCCUCACGAACCGGGACCAAUGCCCUCAUGGGUCCCGGUUCUGGACUGAACCGGGACUAAUGGGCUAACCUGGCCUGAACCAAAGCCCUCUUUUCUACUAGUGAUUAUUUGAGAUUGAUUGUCAACAUGGCAUCAUCUUGCAGGAUGAUAGAAUUAAAACCAUAAAUAUUUGGUUUGUGCAAAACUACUCAAAUGAGCUAUGGGCACUGGAGCAUUACAUCGAGUUGUCAAUGGUAACACAUCCAUGAUAAGUUACAUGGUUCUGUCAAAAGGGAGAUGUGAUACUUCCGUGUAGCGAUUUUACCCAUAUCAUUCACCAUGACAAUGAGGACAAUAUGAUCAAGGAGUUGACAUGCGAGUCAAAUGAUCUCAUCAUCACUGAAUAUGACUUACCUUAUUUCCGAGAGAAAAAGGACAACGCUCGAGACAGCAGACACACUUUCUCAAAGGUCUCUAAGAAGUUAAUCCACAUUUUCUUGCUGCGUGCAUGCCUCGUUAGUCAGUAUUUAUAUCUUCUAGUGGUGUCACGUGAAAAUACCAAAGCAGUCAUUAUAGAUACAACCAAUGACCGCUCUGUUGAAAUUGAUGUCACUUAAAGUUUCAUAAAUAGUGUCAUGUGAGUAACCAGAGCAGACAUCAUAGAUGCAAAUGGAGGGAGAUGUAAUUGCAGUAUCAAAGGUUUCAGAUAGCCACUCAUGAUAAUGAAUUGUGCAAUGAUUUUGUAGGAAAAUAGAAUAAGUACAUCAAAACCAAACUAAAAUUCUUUUGUUUCCAAAGGGAUUCUAAUAGAAUGGGGGUAAAAUUUUCACUUUCAUGCUCGUAUGUCCGCCUAACCUAUGCAAUCUUUUCUAUAUAAUAAUCAAAUCUAGUCUGCAUGACUCACUUGAUUUUUGAUAAAUGAAAUACUUGGUUGCUUAAAAUACAUUGGCUGUAGAAAAGCGAGUUAUUUGUUGAUGAUGCAAAAGCAUGGAUGGUAGCUCUACGCGAUAUAUAUUUUAUGUGUGGUUUUGUGAUCUCUACUUUAUUUGUUAUGCCUAAUCCUACCUUGUAACUUCAUUCCGGUUCUUGUUCUAGCAUGGGCUCUAUUAUAAUGAGCAGGGAAAGAACGCGUUCAUAAGCAUCUUGUUCUCUUUAGACAAGAAAGAAAACGCUAUGCUCUGAACAGGUUUGAAUGCAAUUGGAAGACCUACUUAAUUCCAGACUAUUAUUUUUGUUGAUAGUUAGUUUUGAUUUUGUUUUAGUUCCAUCAACAAGCUUGAUGGUUUACUUUAAACCUUAUAUGGUUUAUUUUAACAGAAUAUAUGUUGCAAAGAGUUGGUAAUUGCAAACAAUAAGAAAAUGAGCCCACGACAUGGCGAAUCACAUGCAAAUGUUUUUGUCAUGGUUUACCGUCGAAGUCACAACACCAUAGUGGCCGCCCGACCAGAUAGAUAACACAUGCAACCUUCAAAAGCCAGCGGUCACAAGGGUAGUAUGAAUUCUAACCAGAUUGUGCAGGAAGAAGACAAAACUGUCAAGGGCUCACACUCAUCUCAUGUUAAGACUCGGCCAGCCAAGCAAAUGGACAAUUUUUAGCUUCAGCAUAGUGCAGGAAGCUUUCAGCAAAGAAUAGCAGGGUGAUACCUCCUGCGUGUAAGUUCGAGACAGCAGAAGUUCAGACUGGAACAAGAUCCAAUUUUGAUCUAGUUAAUCUAUCGUGAACUCUGAAAUUAAAUGUUCUCAUCCACCAACAACCUGCGUCGAACAAAAUCAAAGGGUUUGAAGAAUGAAGACACACCAGAAUAAGCUGCUUGGCUGACCUAACACUAAAGGAAGCCCAUCCCGCUCCAACAGACAAUGUUUGAACUUUGAACAAUAUUGAUUUGACUCCUGAGUCCUGAUUCCCCAAUGUAAGCACUAUGUAGUAGCAAAGUACUCCCUCUAUUGUAUAAUACUUGUCGUGAUUUUAGAUCAAAUUUCAACUAAAACCACGAUAAGUAUUUUGGAAUGGAGGGAGUAAGAAUUAGUAGUACACUGCAGUAAGAUCUCACAAAUUUUACAAGCAAUGCUCAGAUUGGACCUGGCUUUCUUUUCCGAUUUAAAUUUACCAGUUUAGAAAAACAAUACAUAGGUAACAGUGAGCAAUUAUGAAGCAAAUCACUCUACAUAUUAGCAACUCAAAGCAAGCCUUGGAGUGCUAACAACAUGAUAGGUAAUGCACUAGAAGAAUCUGCACGAGUUACAAUAUGGUCAGCAAAAAUAUAAGAUGCCUCAGAAAUAGAUUUAGUAGGACAACAACUUAGAAUCUUAACUAGUGAGAAGUCAAGUAGAAAAUAUUGGUCAUGGGCAGCUUAAACGAAGAUAUUAGCCAUGGAUAGCUUAAGCAAAACAAAAAUGAACAGUGGAGCUGCAUGACUAGUAAGUACUCUAGUAGUAGUAAUGAACAACUAACUUGUGUGCAUCAUUACCCAUAUCUACCUACAAACAUAUCAUUUCAGUGAAUUAUGCUAUUAUCUACCUCAUGGGAAAGGGAAAUCCUCUUCCUAUCUAAAAGGAGAAAAGGAAAGAAAAGGUAGUUUGUCUAGCUCUAUUAAGCUGCACAUAUAGAGUUAUAGAGUGAAACAACAAUGGAACACCAUGCAGAUUGUUUACCCCCUGUAAAUGCAGCGGUUAUUCUGCCAUGUUCUAUUACUAAAUUGAAAACUUUCCUAAUCAGGCGAAUGAAAGAGUAAUAGUUUCAAAUGCAGAAUAACAGCACGACAUCGAUAUUUGACAUCGAAAGAUACCAAUUUAAAGGAAAUAAAAAUAGUUUGGCAUAGAUAAGACACUUGUACGAUGUAAAUGGAAAUAAAAGGAGUUUGACAUCUCUUAGAUUCACCCAGCAUAUGGCUAACAAGGUGGCAUUAAUAAUGACCAAUUAGAGGGCACCUUACAGAUUCUCUAUGCUUAACCAGCAUUGUUCAAAGCCACAAAACGCAUUAGACGUUGAGGACACAAACCGAUAGGAAGAUCAAACUGAACUAGACAUAGAAAGCUAGGAGAUAUCCAAGGCAGUGCCACAAACCAACAAGAUUAGGCCCAUACCCAACAACUUCUUUUAAUGAAGUGCCACGCUAAGGACAUUAAGCUGAAUGCAGUACUUUCAGUGACCAUCAGAAAACAACCAUUCAGCAAAACAUGGAAUGUAAGGCAGAACACCCUGGAAUUCUUGAGAAAAAGUGCAUGUAGCAUUGACUUUCUGAUUCUCCAUAUCAUAUGACACUGCCAUCUCCUCCUCAUCGGUAAGGAAAAUCAAAUCACAAUCUGGAUGAAUCGCGAACACCUUAUAGGACAUGUCAUCUUCGCCACGUUGCCUCCCGAACAGCUCUGAAACGUUGACAGUAUACUUGAGGGUCCAGUUUCCACCACCAGAAUCUUCAAGAACCCACACAUAGAGUUGGCAAUCAUGAUCGUUAUCAAUUUGCCACGCAUACAAGCGUCCUUGGGACUGCCCAAUGGAAGCCAAAUGAUUUUUGUUUGGCAUGUCCUCUGGCAUUUCAAUCUCCCUCCAGAUCUUCCCUUCCGCGUCGACCGUGACCACUGAGGCAUAAUGUGUAGCCAAAUGCAUAGUGCCAUUCAGGAAGACACAUUCUGAAUUCCCGACCAGAAUAGUUUUGUAACCCCACUCACUCUGCACCUUGUUCCAUCGUCCGGUUUCCGACGAGUAGAUGGCCAUCUCUGUGAAUUCGCAGAAACAGUUGGUCAGGGGCACAAACACCACAAAGCGGGACGGAGCUGCUGUGUCGAAACCCAAGAAGAUAUCCAUUAUUGGUUCGAAAUACACAAUGUCACCAUCCUCUUCGUCCAGCCAUACCACAGGAGGCAACACAGUCCACUGCCCGGUCAUAGGAUUGCACACGACGUAAUCGUAUUCGUCUUCCUCAUCAUGACGCGAUUCCCAGCACUUGCAAAGGAGGAGGCUGCUGCAGCACUGCUCGACAGAAAAGCAAUCGUAGCUCUCGCGCAAGAAAUGGAGCGAAGGGUCGACUAAUGGGGGGCCUCUUCCCGACAAAUUACGGAAAUUGAAACGCCCACGCUCGAUGAAGAAGAAGCCAGACAAGGUCUGCGGCGACCUCUUGUGGACUUCCGGAUCGGAGCAGAGGGCCAGCCAUGGCUUGGAGACGCACUUGAAGCGGCAGAGCGACCUGUAGGGCACCCUCGACAGGAUCUCGACAAUGGCGCCUUCAGGAAGAUCUGUAGGGCACCCGGGCUGCUGCUGCUGCUGCUGGUUGUUACAAAUGGAUCCAAAGGCAAUUCGUUUAGGUUCAGUUUAACGUCCGCUGUAUUGGAUUGGAUUCAAGAUUGGAAGAAGGCACUGUAGGGGAGCAUACCUCAGAGUCAGACGCUUCAUCGGUGGAGGGGAAUGGCGGCGUGGCGCUGUCGCGGCCUGGGUUGCCGGUCGACGGCGAAUGAUCCUGCUCCGAGCAGCCAUGGGGAAGGCUGGCCUGCUGCUCGUGCCCAUGCUCCUUCUUCAUCUACAGAUGGUGGACACGAUUCAUACAGGUUCUUUUCUUGGAUAGAACUAGAAGAUUGGGAGAAGGAAUAGUUAAAAAAGGAGGAAACCUCUGAACCUACCUCGGUGAUGGGGAACGGCGGCGGCGAAUGGCAGGGAACGUCCUCGCCGUGGCCUGGGUGAACAGUCGCCGGAGCAUGGCCCUGCUCCGUGCAGCCUUGCUCGCCGCCUCCUCGUCUUCCUUGCGGCAUCGCCUCCUCGAUCGAGGCUAGACUGGGUGGGUCGUCCUAGGCAGGCGGCGCGGCUCGCCGAGUCUCGAGGGUUUUCAAGGACAUCGUGGCUUUAUGGCUUCGUUUCCCCCCUUGAGAAGUGGAAUGGGCGCCUCACCCAAAAAAUCGAGUAGAAAAGAAAUGAAAACGUUUUGUGCUGACCGACCACCUACAAACUGCUACAUGUUAGGCCAACUCCAACACACGACCCAUUUCGUCCGGCCACACUUCGUUUGGAUUAUCGCGGCCCAACGCGCACCCGCAAACAGACAGGCGUCCAUAUUCUGUUCGUCUGUGACCCAUUUUCAACCCGAAAUUAGUUCACGUUUGCGUCGAAACGGACAGGACACAGACGGACGGGACGCGAGCCCUUGUCUUCCCCUUGCCAGCCCAUGGGGAACACAACAUUCUCAUUUCCACCUUCUUUCCCAAAAACCCUCUCACCCACCCCCGCCCCUUCCCAGUUCCAUGGCCGGUGCCCCGCAGCAACCCACCGUUGUCCUCUUGGACGCCAUCUCCACCCGUCCCGCGAUGAAAAAGAAGCCAAAGGUGGGGCUCGACCGAGUCAUUCAAGAAUCAUCCAAGAGGAGAGGGCCGCUGUUGCGGAGAGGAAAGCCGCAGCCCAGUAUGCUCUCAAGGCCGCUGCCGCACAACACAAGGCCGCUGUUGAGGCCAACGAGUCCCUUGUCGCCAAGGCCACACAGGCAACAACGCCACACUCCCUCCUCAUGCUAGGGUUUAGCCGACCCGCGCCGGCCACAUGCUCAUCAGCCGUUCGCCCUCCUCAUGCUAGGGUUUAGCCGACCCGCACCGGCCACAUGCUCAUCGGCCGUUCGCCCUCCACAGGGCCAGUCAAUGAGCUCCUCCUCAACACCACAAACGGGUGGCAUUUAUCUGGCACGAGCAUGGUGCAAACCGCUUCUCCAUGUCGCGGGACGGCAACAUGAUCGCCCCGUGCCGCCGACCGUCAUCGACCUCAAUGUCACGUGCUGGGUUGGGUGUCGCCGGUCAGUAAGCCAUCGGGAUGCAAAGCUAGCGGCCACAGGCGAUUGCUAUGGCCAACCUUCGCAACGACCGCAUCCUGUUCGACGGAUCACCCUACCGUCGCCGGGCAAGACGGCCCCAACUUCAACGCUUUCAUGGAGAAUGUCAUCUACGAGGGCCAUGGCCAAGCCUUCCACACCAAGGGCCAAGGCCAAGGCUUCGAUCCCGACAAGACCCAAAAGCGAAGACAGGCGUGACCAACAUGAAAAGGCCGACGACAUUGGCCAUGGCAACCAAGAUGAAGAGGCUGACAGCAUUGGCUGCGGCAACCAAGAUGAAGAGGCCGACAGUCAUAGCAACUCAUUGGCCAUGGCAACCAUGCAAAUGCAUACACAUUUUUUUUAACAUCAGUACAGACGCAAACGCUCAUACAUACACGCAUACACUCACCCCUAUGAACGCAAACAUACACACCCUACCUCUAUGAGCACCUCCGAGAGACUGAGGCGGCAUGUCAUCUUAAAAUUUACGAAGUCACCGUAGGCGCCUCGUCGUCGACGGGAAUGUCUCCUCCCACUGAAAGCACAUCACCAGAAAUCCUUAAAUAAAUCCAAGAAUAAUGCCACCACCAGACUUGAACCCUGGUGGGCUGGGGAUACCACAGUCCCUCUAACCAUCCAACCACAUGUUGGUUCGCGUAUACGCAUUUUUAAUUGGUUGUUCGUUCGUCAUGUAGGGUAAUCCAAUUUUUUACCCUGCAAAAACAAAUCCAUUUUUUAGUGGUCUUUACAUUUUCUAGUGGUGCCCUGUGAAAUACUACAACAAUCAUCAUAGAUGCAACCAACGACUGCUACUCUGCCUGAAUUGGUGCCACUUUUAAUGUUUCAUAAAUAGUGCCAUGUGAAAAACCGGACGUCCGAAAAAACCAUAGCAGUCAUUGAUCAUAGGUGCAGAUGCACGGAGACGUAAGCAUUAUUAGAGGUUUCACAUAGAUACUCAUGGUAAGGGCGUCUACUCCCUCCGUUCCAAAUUACUCGUCAUAGAAAUGGAUGUAUUUAGAACUAAAAUACAUCUAAAUAUAUCCAUAUGUAUGACAAGUAAUUCGGAACGGAGGGAGUACAAUGCAGACGCUAAGGACGGACGCCAGGUUCCGAAUCCUACUCGAUUUCAGCGAUUCCCGUCCAAUCCCAGGAAAACCGUUGGCGUCGAUGCCAUAUCAUUUGCCGGGUGCUCCAGCCCUUUUUUCAUACAGAUUAAACUGGUCCGAAGGCGGGCGCUUAUAACUAUUGGCGUUGUACACAAAGGCUCCAAGGCAGACGGCAGGUUUAAAAUUCCUUUUUUUUAUUUUCCUCAAGCACUUUGGAAGUGCCUUGCGUUGGAGAUGCCCUAAUGAAAUUGUGCGAUUAUUUUGUAGGAAAAGAGUAAAAGUACAUCAGAACCAAACUAAAAUUCCUUUCUUUCUGUUGGGGCAAAAUAAGCCAUGCUCUGCCGAGCUGACCGAGGUAGGGCGCGCCGGGUCUGGUCCGGCAAAGGUGUGGGCGUGUGCGUGUGUGUGAGUUCAGUUAUAACAAAUACAAGGCGUUGGAGCGCCGGUGCAUUCGUUGCACACAAAACAAACUCGAGUCUCCUGUCCAUCGUCUACCUUUGAGCGAGAGUAACCAGACAGAGAGAGAGCCACCCAUCACUUGGUAUACAGAGCUUUGUUGUGAUCCUACCCGCAGCGAUAUCGCUCGCCCCGUACGCAGGCGGAUCGGGGAGCUCGCUGCCUAUGUCCGUCCCCAUGCUCACUGGUGACAACUACACCACGUGGGCGAUCAAGGUGGAAGCCAACCUCGACGCGGCCGGGCUGUGGGAGGCGGUCGUUCCGGCGGAGGAUGCAGCAGCUGCGGUCAUCGCGAAGAACAAAACAAACUCGAGUCUCCUGUCCAUCGUCUACCUUUGAGCGAGAGUAACCAGACAGAGAGAGAGCCACCCAUCACUUUCCAACGGGAUUCUAACGGAACGGGGGUAAAAGUUUAUCUUCCAUUCUUGUAUGUCCGCCAACACCUAUGCAAUCUAGUGUGUAUAAUAAUCAAAUCUACUCUGCAUGACUCGCUAGAUUUUUGAUAAAUGAAUUUUUGGCUGCUUGUAGAAAGUGUCUUCCUUGUUUGCUGAUGAUGCAGCAACAUGGAUGGUAGCUGUACGCGAUAUCUAUUUUAUGUGUGGUUCUGGGGUCUCUACUUUAUUUGUUAUGCCUAAUCCUGCCCUUCUUUUUGCAGGAAUAAUACUUGUAUUACUCAAUUAUCAGGUCCUUACAAUCCUCUUGGACAAACUUCAAAACAUCCUCAGGGCCCGAACCAACCCACGUAAUUGUUUGACCCUCUACUCUAGCAAAACUAGCUUGUUACUUCAUGCCAAUUCUUAUUCUACAAUAGGCUCUAUUAUAAUGAGAAGGGGAAGAAUGGGUUCACAAACAUCUUGUUAUGUUUAGACAAAAAAAAAACAC
rnacentral:lncRNA from 1 species